AGGUCUGCAUUCCUUGGCUGGCUCUUCACACUUGAGUCCAAGACAGGUCAAUGGUUAGUGGCUGGAUUUGCAAGCAUGUGUGUUUCUGGGCAGGAUAUCAGCUGGGGCAGUCUGAGAGGAAGCUGUCAAGGGAAGCUAAAGAGGAGGGAGUCAGUCACGUCUCUCUUCACCUGUUGCACUCUCUAAAUUUUACUGUCCACUCCUAGGCCUGAUCUAGAGGGCUGUCUAGUCUAGGGGAGACAAAGUUGGAUGUAUCUACUGCCAGCCCCAUGGGGUCAGAACUACAGGGGAAGGAUGGGGACUGUGGGAUUCCAGAGGAACAACAGGGAGGGCUUCUUGGAGGAAUGCUUGUUCUUGAGCUGAGUUUUUUUUUCUCUGCAGGUCAGUCUGAAAUGCAGUGGCACAAUCACUGCUCACUGCAGCCUUGACCUUCCGUGCUCAAUUGAUCCUCCUACUUCAGGGUGGGACUACAGGCACAUGCCACCACACACAGCUAAUUUUUCUAUUUUUUGUAGAGAUGGGGUUACAUCAUGUUGUUCAGGCUGGUCUCAACCUCCUGGGUUCAAGUAAUCCUCCUGUCUUGGCCUCUCAGAGUGCUGGAAUUACAGGCAUGAACCACCUCAUCUGACCUGAGCUGAGUUCUGAAGUGUGAAUAGGAGUUGGCUAGGUGAGGAAGGGAAAAAAGGACCUUCUAGACAGAAAUAUUUGUCAAAGAUGGAGAGAAGUAGGCAGGAGCUGAUUAGGGCAAGGUGUUUGAACGUCAGGCUGGAUGCAGAAAUUUUCUCACAAGGCCAGUGUGGAACCAUGGAGAAUGUGUGAGCAAGGGAGGCCAUGAUUAGAGCUUGAUCUCUCAGGGGCAGAGUGGGGGACAGCUUGGUUCUUUGGUGAUGGGAUCAGGAGAGUUCCAGUGUCAUGGGGGGUUGGGAGAGUUAAGCCCCGCAUCAACUCAUCUGCACCUGUCACCUCGCACCAGAGUUGGUGGGGGACCUCCUGAUGUUCUGGAGGGCCAAAUAAGCCGUGGGAUCCAGUGACUUACAGUGUGAGGUACAGACCAGCACAGAGAGGGUACCGCCCCAGGCUCUGCUCAGAUGGACACAGCCCUGACCUCAUCUGCAGCCUCCUGCCAUCUCCACCCCAGCCCUGAUAGUCCUGCUUUCCAUGGUAGCCAUGAGCUGCGUGUUAAAAUGAUAAGUCAGCCCCAUCCCUUCUCUCCUCAAAACCCUCUCAUAGCUCGUCUUUGCUCUUAGACUAAAACCCAGAGCCUCCUGCAGCUCAGAAGGCCCAGUGUGGCCCAGCCUCUGUGGCCUCUGGCCCUCCCCACCCACUCCAACCUCACUGCUGUUUCUCUCCCCCUUGGGAUCCUUGUACCUGCUGUUUCUUCUGCAUGGAAUUCACUUCCUGUCUCAGCUCUAGGACAUCAGUCCAGAAAGGCCCCCAACUUCCUGCCUCUUGGGGUUCCCCUGUCUCGUGACCUCUGCACUAGCCAUAGUGUCCCUAUAACUAAAAUUGAGACAGAUUGAGAAGGAGCUUAGUUGAGCCUUCUAUGCUCAAGAGACUCAGGCCCAAGCUCAGCCCCAGUCCCUGCUCUCAUGAGACCACAGGCAUAGGGGUCAUUUGGGGGAUUAUCUUGGCACUGGGUCCUGUGGGAUGGUGUCACCUCCAGCCUCCAGGGACCCAUCCUAGCCAUGGGAAUGUGUCCAAUUCCUUCCCAGGAUUAAAAUUAGCCCUGGAGAUUACAUUUAGUAAGUCAAGCUGGAAGUCAGGGGCUGGAGCCCACAGCCUGGGCUCUGCAGAGCUGUGGCGGCUCAGAGACUCAGCCCAGAGAACAUGGAGGUAUGCUUGGGGUCACACAGUGGGCCACAAGUGCCACCUGAGGUGUCAGAUACUUGUGGGCCUGGGACAUCUGGAUGAUGAAGGGUCCAGCAUGGGCUGGAGCAGUGCCAGGGGUUGGGGUUCUGAGAAGCAUCUGUGGCCACUCCCAGAGAAUGACCUGAAUUUCCUGAGAGUUUGUUGCCAGGCCUUGUGGUGGGCGCUUGGCAUUUCAUGCCUGUCAUAGAGGUCUGUUACCUGUCCCAUUCACAGAACAGCACAUAGAGGCCUAGAAAUCAGCCUCCUAUGCUGAGAGCCACCUCAAGGGUCAUAGAAGAGGCUGGGACCCAAGCAUAGGCCCAUGUGACUCUGGGGAGUCACUCAUCUGAAGCCUCAAGUCAUCUGUGACAUGGCAGAGGCUGGGAGGUGGAGUGUGUUCACACAGUUGGCAGAGCGGGGAUGUCCCCUGGGGGUCUCAGGGGCCUGGGAUGGCAUGCCUGCCGCGGAAUGGGCAACAUGAUUUCUUUCUAUUGAGGAACCUUGCAUGGGGGUGCCAGAGAAAGCCUUGUCCCUGCCGUGGCCCAGCAGCCUCCUGCUUCUGAGACCCCCACCGGGGGAUCCAAGAUUCCUUGAGGUGGGGUCCAGGGUUUCUCCUGAGUCACCAAGUGGACCCCUGGACCUAAACUCUGGUUUGAGGGCUCCAAGCCAGGGUCUUUCCAGGGAAUCCCUGUACUCUCCCACUGGAACAGGGUGGGGUUUCCAUCAUUCUCUUUUCAAAAAAAAAAAAAAAAAAUUAGCAGAAAUAAUUCACUGGUGGCUGGGGGGAAUUGGAAGAUUCAGAUAAUCAAAGAGUUAAAACAGGCUGGGCGUGGUGGCUCAUGCCUCUAAUCCCAGCACUUUGGGAGGCUGAGGCAGGCUGAUCACCUGAGGUUGGGAGUUCGAGACCAGCCUGACCAACAUGUAGAAACCCAGUCUCACUAAAAAUACGUAAUUAGCCAGGUGUGGUGGUGCAUGCCUGUAGUCCCAACUACUUGGGAGGCUGAGGCAGCAUAAGUGCUUGAACCUGGGAGAUGGAGGUUGCAGUGAGCCAAGGUUGUGCCAUUGAACUCCAGCCUGGGGGACAGAGAGAGACUCCAUCUAAAAAAAAAAAAAAAAAUUGGAAAAUUGUUGGGAAUAUAAUCCACACAAAAAUAUCCUCAAUCACAUUAGAGUGGCCAACAUGCCAAUUCAAGAAAUUUAGAGUACCUUUGUGAAGUACUAUACAGGACAACAAUCACCAAGACACAGUUAUCAGAUUCUCCAAGGUCAACAUGAAAAUAAAAGCCUUAACAGGAGUUAGAGGAAAGGGUCAGGUCACUUACGAAGGGAACUCUAUUAGGCUAACAGUAGACCUAUCAGCAAAAACCUUACAAUCCUUAAAAUCUUAGGAGCCUAUUUUCAGCAUCCUUAAAGAAAAUAAAUUCCAACCAAUAAUUUCAUAUCCUGCCAAAUUAAGCUUCAUAAGCAAAGAAGAAAUAAAAUCCUUUCCCGGCAAGCAAAUGCUAAGAGAAUUUGUUACCAUUACACUAGCCUUACAAGAGGUUCUUUAGGGAAAUGAAAAAUAAAACCUGCUAAUAUAAAACACACUUAAAUACAUAGCCCAAAGACAAUGUAAAGCAGCUACACAGUUGAAUCUACAAAACAACCAGCUAACAAAACAAUGACAAGAUACAAAUCUCACAUAUCGAUAUUAACCUUGAAUGUAAAUGGUCCAAACACCCCACUUAAGAGGGACAGAGUGGUAAGUUGGAAGACUCAACCAUAUACUGUCUUCAAGAGACCUAUCUAAUAUGUAAUGCCAUCCAUGGGAUGAAAGGAAAGGGUUGGAGAAAGAUCUCUCAUACAAAUGAAAAACAAAAAGACCAGACGUUGCUAUUGCUAUGUCAUAUAGAACAGACUUUAAACCAACAACAGUAAAAAUAAAUAAAUAAAUAAAAAGCAUUACAUAAUGAUGAAACAUUUAGUUCAACAAGAAGACUUAAAAAUCCUGAAAAUAUAGGCAUCCAACAUUAGGGCACUCUGAUUCAUAAAACAAAUACUUCUAAACCUGCAAAAAGACUUAGACAGCCACACAAUAAUAGUGGGGGCGAGUUACUGGGUGCAGCACACCAACAUGGCACGUGUAUACAUAUGUAACUAACCUGCACGUUGUGCACAUGUACCCUAAAAUUUAAAGUAUAAUUUAAAAAAAAAUAGUGGGGGAUUUGAACAUCCCACUGACAGCUUUAGACAGAUCAAUCAUUGUGAUGAAAACUAACAAAGAAAUUCUCUUUUUUAAAAAUGUAUUACUAUUAUUAUUAUUAUUAUACUUUAAGUUUUAGGGUACAUGUGCCCGACAUGCAGGUUUGUUACAUAUGUAUACAUGUGGCAUGUUGGUGUGCUGCACCCAUUAACUUGUCAUUUAGCAUUAGGUAUAUCUCCUAAUGCUAUCCCUCCCCCCUCCCCCCACCUCACAACAGUCCCCGGUGUGUCAUGUUCCCCUUCCUGUGUCCAUGUGUUCUCAUUGUUCAAUUCCCACCUAUGAGUGAGAACAUGUGGUGUUUGGUUUUUUGUCCUUAUGAUAGUUUGCUGAGAAUGAUGGUUUCCAGCUUCAUCCAUGUCCCUACAAAGGACAUGAACUCAUCAUUUUUUAUGGCUGCAUAGUAUUCCAUGGUGUAUAUGUGCCACAUUCUCUUAAUCCAGUCUAUCAUUGUUGGACAUUUGGGUUGGUUCCAAGUCUUUGCUAUUGUGAAUAGUGCCACAAUAAACAUACGUGUGCAUGUGUCUUUAUAGCAGCAUGAUUUAUAAUCCUUUGGGUAUAUACCCAGUAAUGGGAUGGCUGGGUCAAAUGGUAUUUCUAGUUCUAGAUCCCUGAGGAAUGGCCACACUGACUUCCACAAUGGUUGAACUAGUUUACAGUCCCACCAACAGUGUAAAAGUGUUCCUAUUUCUCCACAUCCUCUCCAGCACCUGUUGUUUCCUGACUUUUUAAUGAUCGCCAUUCUAACUGGUGUGAGAUGGUAUCUCAUUGUGGUUUUGAUUUGCAUUUCUCUGAUGGCCAGUGAUGAUGAGCAUUUUUUCAUGUGUUUUUUGGCUGCAUAAAUGUCUUCUUUUGAGAAGUGUCUGUUCAUAUCCUUCACCCACUUGUUGAUGGGGUUGUUUGUUUUUUCUUGUAAAUUUGUUGGAGUUCAUUGUAGAUUCCGGAUAUUAGCCCUUUGUCAGAUGAGUAGGUUGCAAAAAUUUUCUCCCAUUCUGUAGGUUGCUUGUUCACUCUGAUGGUGGUUUCUUUUGCUGUGCAGAAGUUCUUUAGUUUAAUUAGAUCCCAUUUGUCAAUUUUGGCUUUUGUUGCCAUUGCUUUUGGUGUUUUAGACGUGAAGUCCUUGCCCACGCCUAUGUCCUGAAUGGUAUUGCCUAGGUUUUCUUCUAGGGUUUUUAUGGUUUUAGGUCUAACAUGUAAGUCUUUAAUCCAUCUUGAAUUAAUUUUUGUAUAAGGUGUAAGGAAGGGAUCCAGUUUCAGCUUUCUACAUAUGGCUAGCCAGUUUUCCCAGCACCAUUUAUUAAAUAGGGAAUCCUUUCCCCAUUGCUUGUUUUUGUCAGGUUUGUCAAAGGUCAGAUGGUUGUAGAUAUGCGGCAUUAAUUCUGAGGGCUCUGUUCUGUUCCAUUGGAUUAUAUCUCUGUUUUGGUACCAGUACCAUGCUGUUUUGGUUACUGUAGCCUUGUAGUAUAGUUUGAAGUCAGGUAGCGUGAUGCUUCCACCUUUGUUCUUUUGGCUUAAGAUUGACUUGGCAAUGCAGGCUCUUUUUUGGUUCCACACAAACUUUAAAGUAAUUUUUUCCAAUUCUGUGAAGAAAGUCAUUGGUAGCUUGAUGGGGAUGGCAUUGAAUCUAUAAAUUACCUUGGGCAGUAUGGCCAUUUUCAUGAUAUUGAUUCUUCCUACCCAUGAGCAUGGAAUGUUCUUCCAUUAGUUUGUGUCCUCUUUUAUUUCAUUGAGCAGUACUUCGUAGUUCUCCUUGAAGAGAUCCUUCACGUCCCUUGUAAGUUGGAUUCCUAGGUAUUUUAUUCUCUUUGAAGCAAUUGUGAAUGGGAGUUCACUCAUGAUUUGGCUCGCUGUUUGUCUGUUAUUGGUGUAUAAGAAUGCUUGUGAUUUUUGCACAUUGAUUUUGUAUCCUGAGACUGCUGAAGUUGCUUAUCAGUUUAAGGAGAUUUUGGGCUGAGACAAUGGGGUUUUCUAGAUAUACAGUCAUGUCAUCUGCAAACAGGGACAAUUUGACUUCCUCUUUUUCUAAUUGAAUGCCCUUUAUUUCUUUCUCCUGCCUGAUUGCCCUGGCCAGAACUUGCAACACUGUGUUGAAUAAGAGUGGUGAGAGAGGGCAUCCCUGUCUUGUGCCAGUUUUCAAAGGGAAUGCUUCCAGUUUUUGUCCAUUCAGUAUGAUAUUGGCUGUGGGUUUGUCAUAGAUAGCUCUUAUUAUUUUGAGAUACGUCCCAUCAAUACCUAAUUUAUUGAGAGUUUUUGGCAUGAUGCGUUGUUGAAUAUUGUCAAAGGUCUUUCCUGCAUCUAUUGAGAUAAUCAUGUGGUUUUUUUCAUUGGUUCUGUUUAUAUGCUGGAUUAUGUGUGUUGAUUUGCGUAUGCUGAACCAGCCUUGCAUCCCAGGGAUGAAGCCAACUUGAUCUUGGUGGAUAAGCUUUUUGAUGUGAUGCUGGAUUUGGUUUGCCAGUAUUUUAUUGAGGAUUUUUGCAUCGAUGUUCAUCAGGGAUAUUGGUCUAAAAUUCUCUUUUUUUGUUGUGUCUCUGUCAGGCUUUGGUAUCAGGAUGAUGCUGGCCUCAUAAAAUGAGUUAGGGAGGAUUCCUUCUUUUUCUAUUGAUUGGAAUAGUUUCAGAAGGAAUGGUACCAGCUCCUCUUUGUACCUCUGGUAAAAUUCGGCUGUGAAUCCAUCUGGUCCUGGACAUUUUUUGGUUGGUAGGCUAUUAAUUAUUGCCUCAAUUUCAGAGCCUGUUAUUGGUCUAUUCAAGGAUUCAAAUUCUUCCUUGUUUAGUCUUGUGAGGGUGUAUGUGUCGAGGAAUUUAUCCAUUUCUUCUAGAUUUUCUAGUUUAUUGCAUAGAGGUGUUUAUAGUAUUCUCUGAUGGUAGUUUGUAUUUCUGUGGGAUCGGUGGUGAUAUCCCCUUUAUCAUUUUUUAUUGUGUUUAUUUGAUUCUUCUCUCUUUCCUUCUUUAUUAGUGUUGCUAGCGGUCUAUCUAUUUUGUUGAUCUUUGCAAAAAACCAGCUCCUGGACUCAUUGAUUUUUUUGAAGGCUUUUUGUGUCUCUAUUUCCUUCAGUUCUGCUCUGAUCUUAGUUAUUUCUUGCCUUCUGCUAGCUUUUGAAUGUGUUUGCUCUUGCUUCUCUAAUUCUUUUAAUUGCGAUGUUAGGGUAUCGACUUUAGAUCUUUCCUGAUCUCUCUUGUGGGCAUUUAGUGCUUUAAAUUUCCCUCUACACACUGCUUUAUAGGUGUCCCAGAGAUUCUGGUAUGUUGUGUCUUUGCUCUCUUUGGUUUCAAAGAACAUCUUUAUUUCUGCCUUCAUUUCAUUAUGUACCCAGUAGUCAUUCAGGAGCAGGUUGUUCAGUUUCCAUGUAGUUGUGCAGUUUUGAGUGAGUUUCUUAAUCCUGAGUUCUAAUUUGAUUGCACUGUUGUCUGAGAAACAGUUUGUUGUGAUUUCUGUUCUUUUACAUUUGGUGAGUAGUGCUUUACUUCCAACUAUGUGGUCAAUUUAAGUAUAAGUGAGAUGGGGUGCUGAGAAGAAUGUAUAUUCUGUUGAUUUGGGGUACAGAGUUCUGUAGAUGUCUGUUAGGUCCACUUGGUACAGAGCUGAGUUCAAAUCCUGGAUAUCCUUGUUAACUUUCUGUCUCGUUGAUCUGUCUAAUGUUGACAAUGGGGUGUUAAAGUCACCCAUUAUUAUUGUGUGGGAGUCUAAGUCUCUUUGUACAUCUCUAAGGAUUGGCUUUGUGAAUCUGUGUGCUCCUGUAUUGGGUGCAUAUAUAUUUAGGAUAGUUAGCUCUUCUUGUUGAAUUGAUCCCUUUACCAUUAUGUAAUGGCCUUCUAUGUCUCUUUUGAUCUUUGUUGGCUUAAAGUCUGUUUUUCCUGAGACUAGGAUUGCAACCCCUGCUUUUUUUUGUUUUCCAUUUGCUUGGUAGAUCUUCCUCCAUCCCUUUAUUUUGAACCUGUAUGUGUCUCUGCAUGUCAGAUGGGUCUCCUGAAUACAGCACACUGAUGGGUCUUGACUCUUUAUCCAAUUUGCCAGUCUGUGUCUUUUAAUUGGAACAUUUAGCCCAUUUACAUUUAAGGUUAAUAUUGUUACAUGUGAAUUUGAUCCUGUCAUUAUGAUGUUAGCUGGUUAUUUUGCCCAUUAGUUGAUGCAGUUUCUUCCUAGCAUCGAUGGCCUUUACAAUUUGGCAUGUUUUUGCAGUGGCUGGUACUGGUUGUUCUUUCCGUGUUUACUGCUUCCUUCAGGAGCUCUUGUAGGGCAGGCCUGGUGGUGACAAAAUCUCUCAGCAUUUGCUUGUCUAUAAAGGAUUUUCUUUCUCCUUCACUUAUGAAGCUUAGUUUGGCUGGAUAUGAAGUUCUGUGUUGAAACUUCUUUUCAUUAAGAAUGUUGAAUGUUGGCCCUCACUCUCUUCUGGCUUGUAGAGUUUCUGCUGAGAGAUCCGCUGUUAGUCUGAUGGGCUUCCCUUUGUGGGUAACCCGACCUUUCCCUCUGGCUGCCCUUAACCUUUUUUCCUUCAUUUCAACCUUGGUGAAUCUGACAAUUCUUUGUCUCAGGGUUGCUCUUCUCAUAGAGUAUCUUUGUGGUGUUCUCUGUAUUUCCCGAAUUUGAAUGUUGGCCUGCCUUGCUAAGUUGUGGAAGUUUUCCUGGAUAAUAUCCUGAAGAGUGUUUUCCAACUUAGUUCCAUUCUCCCCGUCAAUUUCAGGUACACCAAUCAGAAGUAGAUUUGGUCUUUUCACAUAGCCCCAUAUUUCUUGGAGGCUUUGUCCAUUUCUUUUUACUCUUUUUUCUCUAAACUUCUCUUCUCACUUCAUUUCAUUCAUUUGACCUUCAAUCACUGAUCCCCUUUCUUCCACUUGAUCAAAUCGGCUACUGAAGCUUGUGCAUGCGUCACGUAGUUCUUGCGCCAUUGUUUUCACCUCCAUCUGGUCAUUUAAGGUCUUCUCUAUGCCGUUUAUUCCAGUUAGCCAUUCAUCUAAUCUUUUUUCAAGGUUUUUAGCUUCCUUGCGAUGGGUUCGAACAUCCUCCUUUAGCCUGGAGAAGUUUGUUAUUACCAACCUUCUGAAGCCUACUUCUGUCAACUCAUCAAAGUCAUUCUCCACCCAGCUUUGUUCCAUUGCUGUGGAGGAGCUGUGACACUUUGGAGGAGAAGAGGUGCAGUGGUUUUUAGACUUUUCAGCUUCUCUGCUCUGGUUUCUCUCCAUCUUUGUCAUUUUAUCUACCUUUGGUCUUUGAUGAUGGUGACCUACAGAUGGGGUUUUGGUGUGGAUGUCCUUUUUGUUGAUGUUGAUGCUAUUGCUUUUGUUUGUUAGUUUUCCUUCUAACAGAUUCCUCAGCUGCAGCUCUGUUGGAGUUUGCUGGAGGUCUACUGCAGACCCUGUUUGCCUGGGUAUCACUGGCAGAGGCUUCAGAACAGCAAAUAUUGCAGAACAGCAAAUGUUGCUGCCUGAUCUUUCCUCUGGAAGCUUUGUCUCAGAGGGGCACCUGGCUGUAUGAGGUGUCAGUUGACCCCUACUGGGAGGUGUCUCUCAGUUAGGCUACUUGGGGGUCAGGGACACACUUGAGGAGGCAGUCUGUCCAUUCUCAGAGCUUAAACUCCAUUCUGUGGGAACCACUGCUCUCUUCAGAGCUGUCAGACAGGGAAGUUUAAGGCUGUAGAAACUUCUGCUGUAGAAAGUUUCUGCUGCCUUUUGUUCAGCUAUGCCCUGCCCCUAGAGGUGGAGUCUACAGAGGCAGGCAGUCCUCGUUGAGUUGUGGUGGGCUCCACCCAGUUCAAGCUUCCUGGUGGCUUUGUUUACCUAGUCAAGCCUCAGCAAUGGCGGAUGCCCCUCCCCCAGCCUGUCUGCUGCCUCCCAGUUUGAUCUCAGACCGCUGAGCUAGCAGUGAGCAAGCCUCCAUGGGCAUGUGAUCCUCCGAGCCAUGUGCGGGAUAUAAUCUCCUGGUGUGCCAUUUGCUAAGACUGUUGGAAAAGCACAGUAUUAGGGUGGAAGUGUCCCGAUUUUCCAGGUACCAUCUCUCAUGGCUUCCCUUGGCUAGGAAAGGGAAAUCCCCCAACCCCUUUACUUCCUGGAUGAGGUGAUGCCCCACCCUGCUUCAGCUCACCCUCUCCGUGGGCUACACCCACUGUCCAACCAGUUCCAGGUACUUCAGUUGGAAAUGCAGAAAUCAUCUGUCUUCUGUGUUGAUAGUGCUGGAGCUGUAGACCAGAGCUGUUCCUAUUUGGCCAUCUUGGUGCCUCCCCUUGUUUUUUUUUUUUCUGAUUUCAACUUGACAGCAGAACUCAACCAUGCUGAUGGUGCAGACGCAUGUUGGUGGGAACUUUUCAUUGUUUGAUUCUGACAUUUAUGAUAAAUGGAUUCACUUACUAAAGUUUUGUAGAGAGAGUAAUAACCAUUUAAUCACCUAGAUGUUAUUUCCUUUAUAAAAUCAAACAUAUCUGGUGGUUUUAGAGCAAUAUUUUUUACCUCAGUCACUUGUGUUUAUUAGACAAGAAUACUAAGUGUCAAGAUGUUUGCAUUGCCUUUCAUAUUUUUAUUUAGGGGACAGUGUAAUGAUAAAUGACUUUGAAUAUAUAACCAGACACACCUUCAUCCCCCCCCAAAUCUGUGCUAAUUUACUGUUUUUUAUAUUUCAUGCAUGAAGCUAAAUUGUUUUUACCCAUGGGUUAAAGCAAAAUGAUACAAUGAUACCUGAAUCCUGGCCAAAUAACAUGAAAUGGCAACUGCAAAAUUGUUCUGCAAAAUUUUACAAGGUAUUAUGGUAUUGAGGAUAUCCCAAGAAAACUUGAGAGGCAUUAUCUUUCUCAUUGGAGACUGAUAUUCCUGUAUCAAGUAAAGUCUCAGGAAAAAGAACUAUGUGUGACUAUUUUAAUGCAACCUCUUGGUUGAAAUAAAAUGAUUAAAAGUAGUGUUUAUCUUGUUGAUAACUGAGAAGCAAAUAUUAAAAAUUUUGUUCUGAGAUGAAGAGAGUUCACAUGAUAAGUCUCUGGGAUGUGAACUAAACUGGGAAAGCACCAGGACCAUUUCUAAGACAUACAGUUAAUUAGGGUUUGGAUAAACAGAAUAAUGUUCCCCACUCCCUAAAAAAGAUAUUUACAUCCAAGUUCUUAGAUACUGGAAAUACAUUACAAUUCAUGGCAAAGAGAAUAUAAGGUUGCAAAUGGGAUCAAAAUUGCUGAUAUGCUGAUGAAAAAUAAGAAGACUAUUAUGAAUUAUCAUGGUGGGCCCAGUAGAAUCAUAAGCAUCAAAAACCAUGGAAGAGUGAAGAAUAAACCGUAUCAAAGUGAUAGAUCAUGAGAAAGACUCAAUUGGAUAUAUUUUUAAUUGUUUGUUUUAGUGAGUCUUUCCACUUUAGCAUACAUUUUAUUCAAUUCGACUGUGCAAAUGUGAUUCAUUUUAUAUGCCUGUCACUGAAUUGGGUGCUAAAAAUAAAAUGAGAGAACACAAAAUAACAAAAAUUGAUUUCUAAAGAUGGAGGGCAAAGGGCAUUAGGAAUAUAGAUAGUGUGCACCCUAUACAGGCAUGAUUGUAAAUGCAUUCAUUAUAUAUAGAGAGUAAUAAUUAUAUUCUGUUUCUGAUAAUAUAACUGCUUGCAAUUCAUAUGUCUUCUUUUAAGAAAUGUUUAUUGAAAUAUUUUGCCCAUUUUAAAGAUCAGAUUACUAGAUUUUUUCCUAUGCAGUAGUUUGAGCUGCUUAUCUGUUCUAGUUAUUAAUCCUUUGUCAGGUGAAUAGUUUGCAAAUAUGUUCUCCUAUUCUGUGGGUUGUCUCCUCACUUUAUUGAUCAUUUCCUUUGACAUGCAGAAGAUUUUUAACUUGAUGUAACUUCAUUUGUCCAUAUUUGCUUUGGUUGCGUGUGCUUGUGGGGUAUUACUCAAGACAUUUUUGCCAAGACCUGGAGAGACUUUCCCCAAUGUUUUCUUGCAGUAGUUUUUUAAUUCGAGGUCUUAGAUUUAAGUAUUUAAUCCAUUUGGAUUUGACUUUUGUAUAUGGCAAGAGUUGGGGUUAUAAUUUCAUUCUUUUGCAUGUAGAUAUCCAGUUUUCAAAGCACGAUUUAUUGAAGAGAUUGUCUUUUCCCUAAUUUAAGUUCUUGGCACCUUUGUUGAAAAUGAGUUCAGUGAAAAUGUAUAAAAUUUUUUUCUGGGUUAUCUGUUCAAUUCCAUUGGUUUAUGUGUCUAUUUUUAUGCCAGUACCAGGCUGCUACAGUUACUAUAGCUUUGUAAUAUAAUUUGAAGUCAGUUAAUGUGAUUCCUGCAUUUAAUCUGUGAAUUGCUUUGGGUAAUAUAGAGAUUUUAACAUACUAACACUAUCAAUCCAUGAACAUGGAAUAUCUUUCAAUUUUUGUGUCUUCAAUUUAUUUUAUGAUUGUGUUAUAGUUUUUGUUGUAGAAAUCCUUUACUUCUUUGGUUGAUUUCUAUGUAUUUAGUUCUAUUUGUGGCUAUGAUAAAUGGUAUUUCUUUUUAAAUUCUUUUUCAGAUUGUUCACUCUUGGCAUAUAGAAAUGCUACUGAUUCCUGCUGGGCGCAGUGGCUCACGCCUGUAAUCCCAGCACUUUGGGAAGCCGAAGUGGGCAGAUCACGAGGUCAGGAGAUCGAGACCAUACUGGCUAACACGAUGAAACCCCGUCUCUACUAAAAGUACAAAAAAAAUUAGCCAGGCGUGAUGGUGGGUGCCUGUAGCCCCAGCUCCUCGGGAGGCUGAGGCAGGAGAAUGGUGUGAACCCAGGAGGCGGAGCUUGCAGUGAGCCAAGAUUGCACCACUGCACUCCAGCCUGGGUGACAGAGCGAGACCCUGUCUUAAAAAAAAAAAAAAUGCUACUGAUUUUUAUAUAUUGAUUUGUAUCCAGAAACUCUACUGAAUUUAUCAGUUCUAGUAGUUUUUGUGGAGUCUUCAGGUUUUUUACAAAUAUAAGAUUAUAUCAUCUGCAAAACAAGGAUAAUUUGUCUUCUUCCCUUUAGAUGCCCUUUGUUUCUCUCUCUUGUCUGAUUGCUUUUGCUAGGACUUCCAGUACUAUGGAGAAUAACAGUGGUGAAAGUGGGCAUCCUGGUCAUGUUCCAGAUCUUAGAGAAGGGGAUUUCAGUGUUUCCCCUGUCAGUAUGAUACUAGCUGUGGGUAUGUCAUAUAUGGCUUUUAUUAUGUUAAUAAUGUUCUUUCUCUACCCAGGUUUUUGAGGGUUUUUAAUCAUGAUGGGAUGUUGAAUUUUAUCAAAUGUUUUUUUAAUGUCUUAAUUUAAAUGAUUAUAUAAUCUUUUCCUUCAUUUUGUUGAUGUGAUGUAUCAUUUGGAUUGAUUUGCAACCAUUCUUGCAUCCUUGUGAUAAAUCACAAGGGUGUGAUAAAUCACACAUGAUCAUGAAGAAUGAUAUUUUUAAUGUAUUGCUUAAAGGUUUGUUAGCAUUUUGUUGAGGAUUUUUGCAUCAAUAUUAAUUGGAGAUAUUGUAGUUUUCUUUUUUUAAAGUGUCUUUGAUUUUGGUAUAAAGGUAAUUCUGGUGUUAUGGAAUGAGUUUGGAAGUAUUCCCCAUCUCUAUUUUGUGGAAUAGUUUCAGUAGGAUUGGUGUUAGUUCUUUAAAUGUUUGUUAGAAUUCAGUAGUGAAGCCAUAGAAUAUUGGGGCUUUUCUUUACUGGGAGACUUUUUAUUACAGCUUUGAUCUCAUUAUUUGUUAUUGGUCUGUUCAUAUUUUGUAUUUCUUUGUGUUUCAAUUUUGGUGUGUUUCUUGGCCCUAGUCUGGUCCACUCAGACCUGCUCCAUGCUCACCAUCAGGCAGCUGGUGGUCCUUCUUGAAGAGUGAGUGCAGCAGGGACCAGCGGUUGGGCUGAAGCCCCUUCGCCUCAUGCGGAUUCUCCAAUACUCAUUGAACUUCAUGGUGAGGGACAGAGGACCCACCCUGGCUCUCAGCGGGAGAGCAGGGAGUUCUUGUUCAAGGAAGCCCCUGGGGCUGCCACAGGAGGCAGCCCUUGGGAAAAAGCGCCCAAGGCCCCCCUCAACCGGCCAUCCUGCCUCCUCUGCAGGACCUUCUCUUCCCCUCUUUCUCUCCCUCCUGAGGUGAAAAGGAGGGGAGGAGACCACGGAGCCCACUGUGUCAGGGAAACCUGGCCCUUCCUUUUGAGCAUCCAGGGGACUCGCAUGGGUCUCGCCCCUUCUCCAGGACCUGGAAGCUUCUCUCUCUGAAGAGCCCUGAGUUCCAGUCUCAAGUGUCUCGUUCCCCAUUGCCUCCUGCUUCUCCUUUCAUCCCCGCCACCACCACCUGGGGCUCACACUCCCUGCCUUUGGGCUUCAAAUGUUGUACUACGUGCUUGACCCACUAGCCUGCUUAAUCUUCAAAAUCACUCUAUCAAAAAGACAUUUUAGGCUGGGCAUUGUGGCUGAUGCCUGUAAUCCCAGCACAUUGGGAGACCCAGAUGGGCUGAUUACUUGAGUGUAUGAGUUACAGACCAGCCUGGGAAACAUAACAAGAUCCUGUCUCUACAAAAAUAGAAAAAAAUCAGUGGAGUGCUGUGGCACAUGUCUGUAAUCCCAACUACUUGGGAGGCUGAGGUGGGAAGAUUGCUUGAGCCUGGGAUGUCGAGGCUGCAGUGAGCUGAGAUCACGUCACUGCACUCCAGCCUGGGCAACAGACUGAGACCCUGUCUCAAAAUAAAAAUAAAAAUAAUUUAAAAAGCGAAAUUGCUGAAAUCAUUCAUUUAACCAAUAAGAUGAGCACCUACCUAUCAGGGACAAUAAAAGUUUAAAGGUGCCAACAAUUAUGAAGGCAGUAUUGAAUUCACUUGAAAUAUGAAGACCACCACAUUGGGUGAAUUUAGAUAGGAAUGCCAAGGAGAUAUUCCUAGGAAUAUCAUUAUAUAUGGAAAACACUGAAAAAAGACACUGCAGUGUUUGAGAAAAUAAUGGCCAUAGAAAGAGAUUUCAUGGACCUUCCAGCUUAUGAAAAAAUCAACUGAAAUUGCUCAACAUUAGGUUAGAACAUUAAAAAGGAAAAAUAAGCCAUUAUAGAAGGAGAGAAUUGGAAUAGGGGACAGGAGUGACCCAUUUCCCAGUCUCUGCCUAGAACAGGGCUGGGGAAAAAUCUGUGGUCAUCACAUUCACCAUUGCAUAAACACAUAUUUUUUCUAUAUGUCAGCAAGGAGCAAGUGCUACCAAGACAAGGCAAGGAAAAGGAAUAGAGAAUAUUGCUGGGUGCUUUUCUGUAGGGUGAUCAGGAAAGGCCUCACUGAAAAAGAGACAUUAGAGCAGAGCAAGUGAGAGAGAGAGAGUCAUAGAGAGAUCUGUGGGAAGAGCAUUCCACGUGAGGGCAACAGACACUGCAAAGGCCCCGAGGCAGGGAGUGCUUGGCAUGUCUGAGGAGCCAGAAAAAGGCCAGUGGGGCUGGAAUGGAGUGAGUGAGGAGUAAUAGGGGCAGAACACAUAUGGCCUUAGAGAUCACGGCUCUAGGUGUUUUGUUUUAUUUUCCAAUUUUUAAAAUUGUGUUAAAAUACACAUAACAUAAACUAUAGUAGUUUAACCUUGCUUAAGUGAACAGUUCAGUAAUAUUAACAUUCAUAUGGUUGUGCAACCAUUACCACCAUCCAUCUCCAGAAUUCUUUUCAACUUGUAAAACUGAAACCCUCUGUCAUUAAACAAUAGCUCUCUGUUCUCCCUUCCACCCAGCCCCAGGCAAGCACCAUUCUACUUUCUGUCUCUAUGCAUUUGACUAUUCUUGGGACCUUAUAACAGCAGAAUCUAUGGUAUUUGUCUUUUCUGACUUAUUUCACUUACUCUAAUAUCUUCAGGGUUAUUUUAAUAUUAUUUGUCAGAAUUACCUUCCUUUUGAGAAAUGAAGAAUAUUCCAUUAUGUGUAUAGACCACAUAUCCAUUCAUCUGUCAUGGACAUUAGAGUUGUCUCCACAUUUAAGCUAUUAGUGAAUAAUUCUGCUAUGACCAUAGAUGUACAAAUACUUCUUUGACUCUGCUUUGAAUUUCUUUGUGUAGACACCCAGAAGGGAAGUGCUGGAUCAUGUGAGCCUCCAACCCACUGUCUGCAGUUGUCCUUGUGCCUCCACUCCGCUGUCCCCAGAGCUGUCAUUGAUGUUCCACCCUACUAUCUUGGAGCUGGUCUGAGUCUGCACCCUGCUGUUCUUGGAGCCUAGAAAGCCCACCAGGGCUGGCCAAACUCCACCCCUCCCUUGGUCUCUCCUCCCAGGCAUCAGCACUUUGGAAAAGCCAUUAUGUACCUUUUAAUAUCUAUGAAAGGUGCCUCAGGAAGGCAUGGAGAGGUCACCACUUCCAGGUUAUGGUGUCUCACCUGUGUCCACUGGCCCCAUGCUGGCCCUUUAAGGGGUAAGAGCAGAACAGGCUGGGAGACUACACCUCUUUUCUCAGAGUGGCCAUAGAUAAAGCCAGAAAGGGGACAGGAGAAUGUGGUGCUGUGGGCAGGAUGCUGAGGGCAGAGGCCCCUCCCCACAGGUGCUGAGCAGGUCGGGCAAGGAGGAGCUUCCAGCCUCCAUCCAGGCAGGACUUCUGACCACUGCUAGAGGCCCCUUCUCAGGAGGUCCUGUCCCAGCCAAGGGCCAGCUCCAGAGACUUUUGUCCAUCUUCCCUAAGAUGGACACGAUGCAGGUGGCUGUGUCUGGGCCCUAGAAAUUUCAGGACUGAGUCAUGGUGAAGACAGGAGGGGAUUGUGGGCCCUGGAUGUCCCUGUGCAGCCCAUGGCUCUAGCUUGGACCAUUCACUGCCCAGGUACCUCCUCGCUAGGUCUCCAAGCCCCACUGGUCAUGUGAAAGGCCACGGGGCAGGGCUGGGAUGGGUUCAGGGCUCCAUGUGCUUCCUGAGAGGGCUGAAGGGUUGCAUCCCCCCAGAGCAGCCCAAGGCAUAGUAGCCACUGCUACCCCACUCAGUCUCGGUGAGCAGGCUUGUCGGGGAUGUAGGGGCCUGGUCCUCCAGUGGCAGGUAGGCAGGCAGCGGUGCCUCUCACUCCUCACACUCUGCUGGCAGCAUAUCCUCCAAACUUGGGGCCCCUAGGAGGUGUCCCCAUGCCCUCCUGCUCUCCUCCAGGCUCACAGAUUUCCAGGGACAUGCUGAGUCACAGGUGAGUACUGCAGUGGUCUCUUGCACACUGAAUUCCAAGGCUCCUUGCGAGGUGCUGGCACAGUCCUGGCUCGGCUGCACGCUGGCCCUGUGGGCCCCCAUCCAGGUCAGAAGCAGAGUAUGGGAUGAGGAAAGGGAUCAGGCAGCAUGAUCAGAACUCACCCUGGGAGUGGCAGCCUCCUCCUCAGCAAGCCCUCCCUCCUCCUCCAAGAAGCCCUCCUGAUGUCCACACCCAGAGGCCAAGCAGCACCUGUGCCAGGAGCAUUCUGUCUUCCUUACUAUGUGCCAGCUCAGCCUCAACAUGGGACCCUGAGUCUCUUCAGUUCCCUCACUGCUCCCCUAGCACAGAGCCUGGUGCUCACAGCAGCCUGCACCAGGGUACAGAUGGUGACAUGUGCUGAGGAAAAAACAAACACCUGGCAGCAUGCAGCAUGUGUCCCAGGGCCUUUCAGCAGCUACAGAGACUGGGUACCCCCACCUGAACAAUUUUCUCUGUCUCUCUCUCUCUCACACACACAUAGCAUGACGGACAGGUGACACGAAGACUGGUGACUUUCAAGGUGCUUGGGAAAGGCCAGCAGAUCUGAAUCCUUCUGUGGGGACACAGGAGACCUCUGCUUCCAAAAGGAAGCUCUUCCCUAGGUGGGACCAGAAGUAUCCAUCCAACACGCCACACACACACCACACCCUCCAUCACUGCACUGCUCCCUGCCAGACCCUCACCCAAGGCCUAAAUAAUCUCUGGCAGAUGCCCUGGUUCUAUAGAGAAGGGCUGGUGCCUGCAAGGGGAUGACACAGGCCAGGGUACGAUCACAACCUCUGCCCCGCUCAGACUUGUCCUCAGCUGCCCAGGCUCUUGACAGUCACAUCUGCCACUGUGAGGAAAGACAGGAAAACUGCCAAGACCCAAGUGCUCAGUUUUAAGCUUUAAAUUAUAUUUUUGAACAACAAUCCUAAGAACUGGGCUUCCUGUUGAAAGGGAAAAUGAUUUUUCUACAUAAUAUGCUGGCAAUACUGUGUGGAGGGGAUAUCUCUGCCGCACAGGGUCCAGGGAAGCCCUGCAGCACCAGGAAAGGAGAUCCUGGUGUCACCCUAUAAGGAAGAAGCUGAGACAAAGUUAAUCUUAGUAGAGAGUUUAUUUGAGACAAACUUCAGGAUUGCAACUCUGGAGCAUAGAUUCAAGUUAUCCUGAAUAUACAUUGCAAUUAGCAGCAGUUAUGAGCUGAUUUUUAAAGGCAAAACAAGGGGGGCAGGGAAGGGGCAGAUACAAUUCCUCAGGAAUUUUAGUUGGUUCAUAGCAAUAACACUGCUUAGUGAUGGGCCGUACACUGUUAAGCUAUAGGGUGUGGGGUAUGGCGUCUGGUGUGGCAUUAUGAGGUAAAUUCAUAGCUACUUCUGGCAACAGCAGUAUCAAGAAAUGAAUACACAGCUCAAUGUGAGGGAGUAGGACUUGACUGUGGUCUCAUUUUAAUGCCUCUUUCUGGGCCUGAUAAUUAAAGCACUUGCAUUUCUCAGAUAAAAGUUAUUUUAUUUUCCUGACUGGUAAAGACCCAGGUCAGCUUGGUCCAGACCCCAGGGAGAGGCCCUCAUGCCCUGUGUCCUUUGCCCAAAGUGAGAAGCCUGAGGGAGCACACUGGAGCCCACCCCUGGACCUCUCCCUCUGCCCUUCCCCCUACCCACGGGGCAUGAACUGCCAGCUCAGCAGGGAGGGGAGGGUCCUAUGUGACCCCCAAGUAGUUCGCUGAUACAUGGGCUGUGGGAGCCAGACAAGGCCCACAGAGGGGGAAAUGCAGAGCCCAUUCCUGACUCUGGUGCCAAUGUGUGACCCCAGGGGAAUCGAAGGGGUGGGCAGACCAGGAGCCCAGGGUCAGUGAGGGUCCCAAGGGCAGCACAAGUGCUAGAGACCCUCCCCCACAGCCACCGGACAGACAUUCACAGAAGGAGGAGGUGAGACCCAUGGUGGGCACAGAUAGCUGCAAAGCAGAGGAAACAGAGAUAAGUUAUGAGAAACUUAUAUAUUUUUUCCAUCAACCAUGGAAUGGAAGACACAAGAAAAAUAAAUCAUCAAUGGAAAAUAAAGUGGUUUUUUUUUGUCCACUUGAAACACAGAGGAUAAAUUUAAAUUCACUGUAUACACAUACAAAAAGGCUCAGAACACUCAUAAGUCGCCCACAGUGGCCCCCAACCGUCAUCAAAGCCAACAUCCUGGGCAGGCUAGACCUUGGGGCAACACCUGCCUUCCAUGCCCUGUGGCAGUCUCUGCACUCUCCUGAAGUUCCCAUUGUGUGCACUGUAGGGGGCUGGAAGAAUGUUGCUGGAGAGGACAUAUUCUGGAAGAGGGUUCUUUCCACCCUGAGGCCAGGAGAAGACAGUCAGAGGCCCACGGGGACCCAGGUCGGGGCUCCUGCUGAGGCCCCAGUCGGCAUGAGGUCACUGCAGGGGCUGAGCUCCCUUCCAUCCAGGAAGAGCUCAUCUGCCUCAUUCCUGCCACUGCCUCUCUCCCGUCUCACCCCAUCUAAACCUACUCUCAGGGCAGGAUCCAACUGGGUACCCUGUGGCCUCGUUGGCUAACUGAUUUAUACUAAGGUAUGUGUCUUUUACAGUGUGAGCUGUGAUGGUGAGUUUAGAAUUGACUCGCCAUGACUGCAGCCUGCAGAGGGAGCCAGCACCUCCAGGAACCCCAUUCUUGCCAUCAGCAGAGGGUCUAUGGCUCCCACCUCAUCCAGUGUCUCCCUGAGCACCAUGUCUGCCUGACCAGGACCCAGUGGUCCUCCCAUGAGGAUGCUGCCUAGGGCUCCAACCCAAUAGGUCCAAAUACACCUCACCAACCUCCCCUCGGGGCUGUCCCCCCAUUCCCCACCUCAGGGUCGGGUCACUACUCAUAUCUCAUCCACCCACAUGUCUCCUCAGUCUCAAGACUCUGCAAUUUCCUCCAUGUGGCUCCAUCUCCACUUUUCCCACCAGCUCAAGCCAAAUCUUAUCUCUAUGGACAUCCCAUUGGCCCUCAUCAGGUCCCCCAUGUCUGCUUGUUCCUGCAAUCCAUUCUCAAAACAUAAAGCAUAACAUGUCACACAGUUUCACACUCUUCAGCACUUUCCUUUGCUCUGAGGAGAAGCCAGGCACCCACUCACCUGGCCCCACCCAGCACCCCCAUCCCCACACACUCUUCCUUGCAUCCUCCCUGCUACCUGAUGGGGCCCCUGUGCCCCUCUUGUAAGCUGACAUGCAGUGCACAUUGGGGAUGGCUUACUGAAGAGGCCCCUUGUCUGUCCUGUUCUCUAAGACAUCUGCAGAGGCAAGAACAGAUCCUGUGCAUAUCAGAUGCCCCCAACUGUGCUUUCACACAAUGUGUGAACAAAGAAGCAAACCAAGCUCCUCCAGAGGCAGGAGACAAGGACCUCCGGCUUCUUGGUCCCCGUGACACCGGGUCUGGUUGAGGCCAAGCUGCCCUCAUCUUUGACCUGUUCUCUCCUUCCCUUCUCUCCCCAGGCAACACGAGAACCUCCAACUGGCCCAGGGAAGGAACUUGUAAAGCCCACCCCAACCAGGAUAAGACAGUGGGGCAUAAAUGGGAGGAGAGGGGUUGGCUGUCGGUGCCACACUCAACGAACACUCACACAUGCACACACUGAUGCGUGCACACACGUGACAUAAGUACACAUGGUGACAUCCCAAUACAUUCACAAACAUACACAACACAAACAGGCCCAAACCCUCACUCUGAAACCUAACCCCACCCCCAAACUGCAACCCGGAACUCAAGUCCUAGCCUGAACCUUGACCCCAAACCCCACCUCAAGUCAGAAGGUAAACCAUGGGCCGAAUCCCGAACUGGAACUCAAACCCCAGCAGGAACCUGAACUCUUCCAUUGUCUUUCCUCAUCUGGCGCAUGGGACUCAGCACCUGAGACUCUGUUGUGGCCCUCUGAAUGAGCUGCGCCCCUCGUUCUUGUCCUCCCCACCAGCUGCGCUCCCUGUCCCUCCUCUCCCAAGGAGCCACCCAGCCCAUGUCCCCCGCCCCGGUGGUCCCGAUGAGAUGCACCCAGGCUGACCCAGGGUGCAAAUCCCCACCCCAAUCCCCAACGCAAACCCUGAACCAGAGGCCUCGUCUAAACUUUAAUCCCAAACUCCACCUCAAAUUGGAACCGGAACCACAGAUGGAAGCCUGAACCGGAACUCAAAGCCCAGGUGGAACCUGAACCCCGCCCUCGCCUGUGAGCGGCUGCGCCCGGGUCCAGCCCUCCCCACGAGCUUCACCUCUGACCCCGACCUCCCCUAGAACUGCGCUUUCUACCCCGCAGUCCCAGGGUAUCGCAAGCCGUCCCUCACACCCCACCUCCACGCCCUGUCUCCCCCACCUUCACUGUGAGCUGCAGCCCCCAUGUCCCUGCCGUCCCCCUCACCCUCCCAGGAGCUGUGUCCACCUGACCCGGCAUUUGCGCCUUUGUCUUCGUGGCCCGGAAGUGGCCCCGCCGGCGGAAGCACGAGAAGUGGCCACGUGCUGUACAGCGGCUGGCUGAGGAAGUCGCCCCCCGAGAAGAAGCUGAGGCUCUUUGUGAGUGCGGGCAGUGGGGGCGGUACCAUGAGCGCCACGGAGGGUCUGGGGGCUCCGGGAGGGGCGUGGGGGAGGCGGCCUGGGUCCACGGGAGGAGCUGCGGGUGGAGGCGACUUCUCCACGUCUGCAUGCGAAGGCGACUCCCCGCCAGCGAGAGACAGGGUCCAGGUUUGUGUGGGUUGCGUUCCGAGACCCAGGGAAUUGAUUCCAGGGCUGGGGACCCUAUUACCUUGAGCGCCGUGGGCCUGCAGGUCGGAGAGUGGGCGGGAAAGGGGACACAGCAGGCUCCGCAGCCUCGCAAAACGGCAGGAACCUCGCACCCGCUCCCCUUCCCUCCCAGGCCCUGAGAAUGGCGGGCACCUCGCACCCUCUCUCCUUCCCUCCCAGGCCCCAAGGAAGGCAGGCGCCUUAAACCUGCUCACCUUCCCUCCCAAGCCCCGAGAAGGCAGGCACCUCACACCCUCUCCCUUUCUCUCCUGGGCCCCAAGAAAACGCGGGCACCUCGCACCCGCUCCCCUUCCCUCCUCACCCGCCACUCCCGGGGUCGUUCGCGUCCUUCCAUGCCACCACGCCUGCUGAGGGACAGUGUGCACUGCAGUGUAGUUUUCUAUAUAUUAAUUCAUGUGGUUAAACGAUUUAGAAAAAAAGAAGAUUGGUUGCCCUUUCCCCUAGUGGCUAAUUUGAAGAGUGUUGUUCUAAAUUUCAACAAUUUUACUGAGGAAGUGGUAAUUGUUAGGAGUCACUAUGAUUAUACCAAGGUACAUAGAAGAGGCUUUUCUCUCCUGUUCCUUAGCCCCAGGUCCACCCCUUCAAGAAUCUAUUCCAGAAUAAGCUGAUCCUAUAGUCAUCUUCCCUUUCCUCUGCUUCCCUGAGGUAUGGGGUAUGAUCAAUUCUGCAUUCUUGUCUUUCUCCAUUUGUUUUUUCAAUUUUUUAUUAUACUUUAAGUUCUGGGAUACAUGUGCAGAACGUGGAGGUUUGUUACAUACAUAUACACGUGUCAUGGUGGUUUGCUGCACCCAUCAACCCAUCAUCUACAUUAGGUAUUUCUCGUAAUGCUAUCCCUUCCCUUGCCCCCCAACCCCAAUAGGCCACAUUGUGUAAUGCUCCCGUCCCUGUGAUCGUAUGUUCUCAUUGUUCAGCUGCCACUUAUGAGUGAGAACAUGAGGUGUUUGGUUUUCUGUUCCAGUGUAAGUUUGCUGAGAAUGAUGAUUUCCAGCUUCAUCCAUGUCCCUGCAAAGAACAUGAACUCAUUCUUUUUUAUGGCUGCAUAAUAUUCCAUAGUGUAUAUGUGCCAUAUUUUCUUUAUCCAGUCUAUUAUUGAUGGGCAUUUGGGUUGGUUCCAAGUCUUUGCUGUCGUGAAUAGUGCUGCAAUAAACAUAUGGGUGCACUUGUCUUUAUAGUAGAAUGAUUUAUAAUCCUUUGGGUAUAUACCCAGUAAUGGGAUGGCUGGGUCAAAUGGUAUUUCUAGUUCUUGAUCCUUGAGGAGAUGCCACACUGUCUUUGACAAUGGUUGAACUAAUUUAUACUCCAACCAACAGUGUAAAAACAUUCCUAUUUCUCCACAUCUUCUCCAGCAUCUGUUGUUUCCUGACUUCUUAACGAUGGCCAUUCUAACUGGCGUGAGAUGGUAUCUCGUUGCAUUUCUCUAAUGACCAGUGAUGAUGAGCAUUUUUUCAUGUUUGUUGGCCACAUAAAUAUCUUCUUCUGUUAAGUGUCUGUUCAUAUCCUUUGCCCACUUCUUGAUAGUGUUGUUGUUUUUUUCUUGUAAAUUUGUUUAAAUUCCUUAUACAUUCUGGAUAUUAGCCCUUUGUCAGAUGGGUAGAUUGGAAAAAAAUUCUCCCAUUCGGUAGGUUGCCUGUUCACACUGAUGAUAGUUUCUUUUGCUAUGCAGAAGCUCUUUAGUUUAAAUAGAUCCCAUUUGUCAAUUUUGGCUUUUGUUACCAUUGCUUUUGCUGUUUUAGUUAUGAAGUCUUUGCCCAUGCCUAUGUCCUGGAUGAUAUUGCCUAGGUUUUCUUCUAAGGUUUCUAUGGUUUUAGGUCUUACGUUUAAGUCUUUAAUCCAUCUUGACCCCGACCUCCUUCAGAACUGAGUUAAUUUUUGUAUAAGAUAUAAGGAAGGGGUCCACUUUCAGUUUUCUGCACAUGGCUAGCCACUUUUCCCAACACCAUUUAUUAAAUAGGGAAUCCUUUCCCCAUUGCUAGUUUUUGUCAGGUUUGUCAAAGAUCAGAUGGUUGUAGAUGUGUGGUGUUAUUUCUGAGGCCUCUGUUCUGUUCCAUUGGUCUAUAUAUCUGUCUUGGUACCAGUAACAUGUUUUGGUUACUGUAACCUUGUAGUACAGUUUGAAGUCAGGUAGUGUGAUGCUUCCAGCUUUGUUAUUUUUGCUUAGGAUUGUCUUGGCUGUACGGGCUCUUUUUUGGUUACAUGUGAAAUUUAAAGUGGAUUUUUCUAAUUCUGUGAAGAAAGUCAAUGGUAGCUUGAUUGGAAUAGCAUUGAAUCUGUAAAUUACUUUGGGCAGUAUGGCCGUUUUCACAAUAUUGAUUCUUCCUAUCCAUGAGCAUGGAAUGUUCUUCCAUUUGUUUGUGUCCUCUCUUAUUUCCUUGAGCAGUGGUUUGUAGUUCUCCUUGAAGAAGUCCUUCACAUCUCUUAUAGGUUGUAUUCCUAGGUAUUUUAUUCUUUUGGUAGCAAUUGUGAAUGGGAGUUCACUCAUGAUUUGGCUCUCUAUUUGUCUAUUAUUGGUGUAUAGGAAUGCUUGUGAUUUUUGCACAUGGAUUUUGUAUCCUGAGACUUUACUGAAGUUGCUUAUCAGCUUCAGGAGUUUUUGGGCUGAGAUGAUGGGGUUUUCUAAAUAUACAAUCAUGUCAUCUGCAAACAGAGACAAUUUAACCUCCUCUCUUCCUGUUUGAAUACCGUUUAUUUCUUUCUCUUGCCUGAUUGUCCUGGCCAGAACUUCCAAUACUAUGUUGAAUAGGAGUGAUGAGAGAGGGCAUCCUUGUCUUGUGCCAGUUUUCAAAGGGAAUCCUUCUAGCUUUUGCCCAUUCAGUAUGAUAUUAGCUGUGGGUUUGUCAUAAAUAACGUAUUAUUUUGAGAUAUGUUCCAUCAAUACUUAGUUAAUUGAGAGUUUUUAGCACGAAGGGGUGUUGAAUUUUAUCGAAGGCCUGUUCUGCAUCUAUUGAGAUAAUCAUGUGGUUUUUGUCAUUGGUUCUUUUUAUGUGAUGGAUUACGUUUAUUGAUUUGCAUAUGUUGAACCAGCCUUGCAUCCCAGGAAUGAAGUCAACUUGAUCGUGAUCGAUAAGCUUUUUGAUGUGCCUGGGUUCGGUUUGCCAGUAUUUUAUUGAGGGUUUUUGCAUUGAUGUUCAUUAGGGAUAUUGGCCUGAAAUUUUAUUUUUUUGUUGUGUCUCUGCUAGGGUUUUGUAUCAGGAUGAUGCUGGCCUCAUAAAAUGAGUUAGGGAGGAGUCCCUCUUUUUGCAUUGUUUGGAAUAGUUUCAGAAGGAAUGGUACCAGCUCGUUUUUGUACCUCUGGUAGAAAUCGGCUGUGAAUCGGUCUGGUCCUGGGCUUUUCUUGUUGUUGUUGAUAGGCUAUUAAUUAUUGCUUCAAUUUCAGAAUUUAUUAUUGGUUUAUUCAGAUAUUUGACUUCUUCCUGGUCUAGUCUUGGGAGGGUGUAUGUGUCCAGGAAUUUAUCCAUUUCUUAUGAAUUUCCUAGUUUAUUUGCAUAGAGGUGUUUAUAGUAUUUUCUGAUAGUAGUUUGUAUUUCUGUGGGAUCAGCGGUGAUACCCCUCUAUCAUUUUUUGUUGUGUCUAUUUGAUUCUUCUUUGUUGUGUCUAUUUGAUUCUUUAUUAGUCUGGCUAGCGGUCUAUCUAAUUUUUUAAAAAACAACUCCUAAACUUACUGAUUUUUUGAAGGGUUUUUUUGUGUCUCUAUCUCCUUUAGCUCUGCUCUGAUCUUAGUUUGUGUUCUGCUAGCUUUUGAAUUUGUUUGCUCUUGCUUCUCUAGUUCUUUUAAUUUUGAUGUUAGAGUGUCAAUUUUAGAUCUUUCCUGCUUUCUCUUGUGGGCAUUUAGUGCUAUACAUUUCCCUCUAAACACUGCUUUAGCUGUGUCCCAGAGAUUGUGGUACAUUGUGUCUUUGUUUUCAUUGGUUUAAAAAAAAUCUUUAUUUCUGCCUUGAUUUUGUUAUUUACCCAGUAAUCAUUCAGGAGCAGGUUUUUCAGUUUCCAUGUAGUUGUGCAUUUUUGAGUGAGUUUCUUAAUCCUGAGUUCUAAUUUGAUUGUACUGGGGUCUAAGAAACUGUUAAGAUUUCCAUUCAUUUCCAUUUGCUGAGGAGUGUUUUACUUCCAAUUUUGUAGUCAAUUUUAGAAUAAGUGAGUGCUAUGUGGUGCUCGGAAGAAUGUAUAUUCUGUUGGUUUGGGGUGGGGAGCUCUGUAGAUGUCUAUUAGGUCCACUUGGUCCAGAGCUGAGUUCAAGUUCUGAAUAUCCUUGUUUCAUUUCUGUCUUGUUAAUCUGCCUAAUAUUGACAGUGGGGUGUUAAAGUCUCCCACUAUUACUGUGUGGGAGUCUAAGUCUCUUUCUAGGUCUCUAAGAACUUGCUUAUGAAUCUGGGUGCCCCUGUCUUGGGUGCAUAUAUAUUUAGGGUAGUUAGCUCUUCUUGUUGCAUUGAUCCCUUUACCAUUAUUUAAUGCCCUUCUUUUCGUUUUUGAUGUUUGUUGGUUUAAAGUGUGUUUUAUCAGAGACUAGGAUUGCAAACCCUGCUUUCUUUUGGUUUCCAUUUGCUUGGUAAAUAUUCUUCCAUCCCUUUAUUUUGAGCCUAUGUGUGUCUUUGCACAUCAGAUGGGUCUCCUGAAUACAGCAUACUGAUGCGUCUUGACUCUAUCCAAUUUGCCAGUCUGUGUCUUUUAAUUGGGGCAUUUAGCCCAUUUACAUUUAAGGUUAAUUUUUUUUAUUAUACUUUAAGUUUUAGGGUACGUGUGCACAAUGUACAGGUCUGUUACCUAUGUAUACAUGUGCCAUGUUGGUGUGCUGCACCCAUUAACUCGUCAUUUAACAUUAGGUAUAUCUCCUAAUGCUAUCCCUCCCCCCUCGCCCCCAACAACAGGCCCCAGGGUGUGACGUUCCCCUUCCUGUGACCAUGUGUUCUCAUUGUUCAAUUCCCACCUAUGAGUGAGAACAUAAGGUUAAUAUUGUUAUGUGUGAAUUUGAUCCUGUCAUUAUGAUGCUAGCUGGUUAUUUUGCCUGUUGGUGCAGUAUCUUCAUCCUGUCGGUGGUCUUUACAUUUUGGUAUGUUUUUGCAGUUGCUGGUACCAGUUUUUCCUUUGCAUAUUUAGUGCUUCCUCAGGAGCUCUUGUAAGGCAGGCCUGGUGGUGACAGAAGCCCUUAGCAUUUGCUGGUCUGUAAAGGAUUUUAUUUCUCCUUCGCUUAUGAACCUUUGUUUGGCUGGAUAUGAAAUUAUGGGUUGAAAAUUCUUUUCUUUAAGAAUGUUGAAAAUGGAGGUUCCAAGAUGGCCAAAUAGGAACAGCUCCAGUCUACAGCUCCCAGCAUGAGCAAUGCAGAAGAUGGGUUAUUUCUGCAUUUCCAACUGAGGCACUGGGUUCAUCUCACAGGGGCUUGUCAGACAGUGGGUACAGCCCACGGAGCAGGGUGGGACAUUGCCUCACCCGGGAAGCACAAGGGGUCAGGGAAUUCCCUUUCCUGGCAAAGGGAAGCCAUAACAGAUGGUACCUGGAAAAUCGGGACACUCCCACCCUAAUACUGCACUUUUCCAAUGGCCUUAACAAACAGCACACCAGGAGAAUAUAUCCCACGCCUGGCUCGGGGGGUCCCAUGCCCAUGGAGCCUCGCUCACUGCUAGCACAGCAGUCUGAGAUCAAACUGCGAGGCGGCAGCCAGGCUGAGGGAGGGGCGCCCGCCAUUGCUGAGGCUUGAGUAGGUAAACAAAGCGGCCUGGAAGCUUGAACUGGGUGGAACCCACCUCAGUUCAAGGAGGCCUACCUGCCUCUGUAGACUCCACCUCUAGGGGCAGGGAAAAGCUGAAAAUUCUGAAAAUCAGAGCGCCUCUUCUCCUCCAAAGGAAAGCAGCUCCUCUACAGCAACGGACCAAAGCUGGACAGAGAAUGACUUUGACAAGUUGACAGAAGAAGGCUUCAGACGAUCAGUAAUAAUGAACUUCUCCGAGCUAAAGGAGGAUAUUUGAACCCAUCGCAAAGAAGCUAAAAAUCUUGAAAAAAGAUUAUGCAAAUGGCUAACUAGAAUAAACAGUAUAGAGAAGUCCUUAAAUGACCUGAUGGAGCUGAAAAUCAUGGCACGAGAACUACAUGACACAUGCACAAGCUUCAGUAGUCAAUUUGAUCAAGAGGAAGAAAGGGUAUCAGUGAUUGAAGAUCAAAUGAAUGAAAUGAAGCAAGAAGAGAAGUUUAGAGAAAAAAGAGUAAAAAGAAACAAACAAAGCAUCCAAGAAACAUGGGACUAUGUGAAAAGACCAAAUCUACGUCUGAUUGGUGUACCUGAAAGUGACGGGCAGAAUGGAACCAAGUUGGAAAACACUCUGCAGGAUAUUAUCCAGGAGAAUUUCCCCAACCUAGCAAGGCAGGCCAAAAUUCAAAUUCAGGAAAUACGAGAAUGCUGCAAAGAUAAUCUUCGAGAAGAGCAACUCCAAGACACAUAAUUGUCAGAUUCACCAAAGUUGAAAUGAAGGAAAAAAUGUUGAGGUCAGCCAGAGAGAAAGGUCAGAUUACCCACAAAGGGAAGCCCAUCAGACUAACAACUGAUCUCUCGGCUGAAACUCUACAAGCCAGAAGAGAGUGGAGGCCAAUAUUCAACAUUCUUAAAGAAAAGAAUUUUCAACCCAGAAUUUCAUAUCCAGCCAAACUAAGCUUCAUAAGUGAAGGAGAAAUAAAAUCCUUUACAGACAAAAAAAUGCUGAGUGAUUUUGUCACCACCAGGCCUUCCUUACAAGAGCUCCUGAAGGAAGCACUAAACAUGGAAAGGACAACCUUUGCACAGCCACUGCAAAAACAUCCCAAAUUGUAAAGACCCUUGAUGCUAGGAAGAAACUACAUCAACUAACGAGCAAAAUAACCAGCUAACAUCAUAAUGACAGGAUCAAAUUCACACAUAACAAUAUUAACCUUAAACGUAAAUGGGCUAAAAGCUCCAAUUAAAAGACACAGACUGGCAAAUUGGAUAAAGAGUCAAGACCCAUCAGUGUGCUGUUUUCAGGAGACCCAUCUCACGUGCAGAGACACACAUAGGCUCAAAAUAAAGGGAUGGAGGAAGAUCUACGAAGCAAAUAGAAAACAAAAAAAGCAGGGGUUGCAAUCCUAGUCUCUGAUAAAACAGACUUUAAACCAACAAAGAUCAAAAGAGACAAGGCCAUUACAUAAUGGUAAAGGGAUCAAUUCAACAAGAAGAGCUAACUAUCCUAAAUAUAUAUGCACCCAAUACAGGAGCACCCAGAUUCAUAAAGCCUAUACUUAGAGACCUAGAAAGAGACUUAGACUCCCACACAAUAAUAAUGGGAGACUUUAACACCCCACUGUCAACAUUAGACAGAUCAACAAGACAGAAAAUUAACAAAGAUAUCCAGGAAUUGAACUCAGCUCUACACCAAGCAGACCUAAUAGACAUCUACAGAACUCUCCACCCCAAAUCAACAGAAUAUACAUUCUUCUAAGCACCACAUCACACUUAUUCCAAAAUUGACCACAUAGUUGGAAGUAAAGCACUCCUCAGCAAAUGUAGAAAAACAGAAAUGAUAACAAACCAUGUCUCAGACCACAGUGCAAUCAAACUAGUACUCAGGAUUAAGAAACUCACUCAAACCUGCUCAACUAUAUGGAAACUGAACAACCUGCUCCUGAAUGACUACUGGGUACAUAACAAAAAGAAGGCAGAAAUAAAGAUGUUCUUUGAAACCAAUGAGAACAAAGACACAACAUACCAGAAGCUCUGGGACACAUUCAAAGCAGUGUGUAGAGGGAAAUUUAUAGCACUAAAUGCCCACAAGAGAAAGCAGGAAAGAUCUAAAAUCAACACCCUAACGUCACAAUUAAAGGAACUAGACAAGCAAGAGCAAACACAUUCCAAAGCUAGCAGAAGGCAAGAAAUGUCUAAGAUCAGAGCAGAACUGAAGGAGGUAGAGACACCAAAAACCCUUCAAAAAUCAAUUAAUCCAGGAGCUGGUUUUUUGAAAAGAUCAACAGAAUUGAUAGACCUCUAGCAAGACUAAUAAAGAAGAAAAGAGAGAAGAAUCAAAUAGAUGCAAUAAAAAGUGAUAAAGGGGAUAUCACCACCAAUCCCACAGAAAUACAAACUACCACCAGAGAAUAUUAUAAACACCUUUAUGCAAAUAAACUAGAAAAUCUAGAAGAAAUGGAUAAAUUCCUGGGCACAUGCACCCUCCCAAGACUAAACCAGGAAGAAGUUGAAUCCCUGAAUAGACCAAUAACAGGUUCUGAAAUUGAGGCUAUAGUUAAUAGCCUACCAACCAAAGAAAGUCCAGGACCAGAUGGAUUCAUGGCCGAAUUCUAUCAGAGGUACCAAGAGGAGCUGGUACCAUUCCUUCUGAAACUAUUCCAAUCAAUAGAAAAAGAGGGAAUCCUCCCUAAUUCGUUUUAUGAAGCCAACAUCAUCCUGUUACCAAAGCCUGGCAGAGACACAACAAAAAAAGAGAAUUUUAGACCAAUAUCCCUGAUGAACAUCCAUGCAAAAAUGCUCAAUAAAAUAGUGGCAAACCGAACCCAGCAGCAGAUCAAAACGCUUAUUCACCACGAUCAAGUUGGCUUCAUCCCUGGGAUGCAAGGCUGGUUCAACAUAUGCAAAUCAAUAAAUGUAAUCCAUCAUGUAAAGAGAACCAGAGACAAAAAGCACGUGAUUAUCUCAAUAGAUGCAGAAAAGGCCUUCGACAAAAUUCAACAGCCCUUCAUGCUAAAAACUCUCAAUGAACUAGGUAUUGAUGGGACGUACCUCAAAUUAAUAAGAGCUAUUUAUGACAAACCGACAGCCAAUAUCAUACCGAAUGGGCAAAAACUGGAAGCAUUCCCUUUGAAAACUGGCACAAGACAGGGAUGCCCUCUCUCACCACUCCUAUUCAACAUAGCAUUGGAAGUUCUGGCCAGCACAGUCAGGCAAGAGAAAGAAAUAAAGGGUAUUCAAUUAGAAAAAGAGGAAAUCAAAUUGUCUCUGUUUGCAGAUGACAUAACUGUAUAUUUAGAAAACCCCAUUGUCUCAGCCCAAAAUCUCCUUAAGCUGAUAAGCAACUUCAGCCAAGUCUUAGGAUACAAAAUCAAUGUGCAAAAAUCACAAGCAUUCCUCUACACCAAUAACAGACAAACAGAGAGCCAAAUCAAGAGUGAACUCCCAUUCACAAUUGCUUCAAAGAGAAAAAAAUACCUAGGAAUCCAACUUACAAGGGAUAGGAAGGACCUCUUCCAGGAGAACUACAGAACACUGCUCAGCAAAUUAAAAGAGGACACAAACAAAUGGAAGAACAUUCCAUGCUCAUGGGUAGGAAGAAUCAAUAUUGUGAAAAUGGCCACACUGCCCAAGGUAAUUUAUAGAUUCAGUGCCAUCCCCAUGAAGCUACCAAUGACCUUUCUUCACAGAAUUGGAAAAAACUACUUUAAAGUUCAUAUGGAACCACAAAAGAGCUGCAUUGCUAAGACAAUCCUAAGCCAAAAGAACAAAGCUGGAGGCAUCACGCUACCUGACUUCAAACUAUACUACAAGGCUACAGUAACCAAAACAGCAUGGUACUGGUACCAAAACAGAGAUAUAAUCCAAUGGAACAGAACAGAGCCCUCAGAAAUAAUACCACACAUUUACAACCAUCUGAUCUUUGACAAACCUGAGAAAAACAAGAAAUGGGGAAAGGAUUCCCUAUUUAAUAAAUGGUGCAGGGAAAACUGGUUAGCCAUAUGUAGAAAGCUGAAACUGGAUCCCUUCCUUGUACCUUAUACAAAAAUUAAUUCAAGAUGGAUUAAAAACUUAAAUGUUAGACCUAAAACCAUAAAAACCCUAGAAGAAAACCUAGGCAAUACCAUUCAGGACAUAGGCAUGGGCAAGGGCAAGGACUUCAUGGCUAAAACACCAAAGUAAUGACAACAAAAGCCAAAAUAGCCAAAUGGGAUCUAAUUAAACUAAAGAACUUCUGCACAGCAAAAGAAACUACCAUCAGAGUGAACAGGCAACCUACAGAAUGGGAGAAAAUUUUUACAAUCUACCCAUCUGACAAAGGGCUAAUAUCCAGAAUCUACAAAGAACUUAAACAAAUUUACAAGAAAAAAUCAACCCCAUCAAAAAGUGGGCAAAGGAUAUGAACAGACACUUAUCAGAAGAAGACAUUUAUGCAGCCAACAGACACAUGAAAAAAUGCUCAUCAUCACUGGGCAUCAGAGAAAUGCAAAUCAAAACCACAAGGAGAUACCAUCUCAUACCAGUUAGAAUGGCAGUCAUUAAAAAGUCAGGAAACAACAGGUGCUGGAGAGGAUGUGGAGAAAUAGGAAGGCUUUUACACUGUUGGUGGGAGUGUAAACUAUUUCAACCAUUGUGGAAGACAGUGUGGCGACUCCUCAAGGAUCUAGAACUAGAAAUACCAUUUGACCCAGCAAUCCCAUUACUGGGUAUAUACCCAAAGGAUUAUAAAUCAUUGUAUUAUAAAGACACAUGCACACGUAUGUUUAUUGCGGCACUAUUCACAAUAGCAAAGACUUGGAACCAACCAGACUGGAUGAAGAAAAUGUGGCACAUAUACACCAUGGAAUACUAUGCAGCCAUAAAGAAUGAUGAGUUCAUGUCCUUUGUAGGGCCAUGGAUGAAGCUGGAAUCCAUCAUUCUCAGCAAACUAUUGCAAGGACAGAAAACCAAACACCGCAUGUUCUCAUUCAUAGGUGGGAAUUGAACAAUGAGAACACUUGGACACAGGAUGGGGAACAUCACACACCAGGGCCUGUUGUGGGGUGGGGGGAGGGGGGAGGGAUAGCAUUAGGAGAUACACAUAAUGUAAAUGGUGAGUUAACGGAUGCAGCACACCAACAUGGCACAUGUUUACAUAUGUAACAAACCUGCACGUUUUGCGCAUGUACCAUAAAACUUAAAGUAUAAUAAUAAUAAAAAAGAAUGUUGAAUAUUGGCCCUCACUCUCUUUUGGCUUGUAGGGUUUCUGCAGAGAGAUCUGCUCUUAGUCUGAUGGGCUUCUCUUUGUGGGUAGCCCGACCUUUCUCUCUGGCUGCCUUUACCAUUUUUUCCCUUCAUUUCAACCUUUGUCAAUCUGACAAUUACAUGUCUUGGGGUUGCUUUUCUCGAGGAGUAUCAUGGUGGUGGUCUUUGUAUUUCUUGAGUUUGAAUGUUGGCUUGUCUUGCUUGGUUGGGGAAGUUCUCCUGGAUAAUAUCCUUAAGAAUGUUUUCCAAUUUGGUUCCAUUCUCCCUGUCAUUUUCACAUAUACCAAUCAAACAUAGAUUUGACCUUUUCACAUAGUCCCAUAUUUCUUUGAGGCUUUGUUCAUUCCUUAAGUUUUUUUCUCUCUAAUCUUGUCUUCAUGCUUUGUUUCAUUAAGUUCGUCUUCAAUCUCUGAUAUCCUGUCUUCUGCUUGAUCAAUUCGGCUAUUGAUACUUGUUUAUUUUUCACGAAGUUCUCGUACUGUCUCUUUCGGCUUCAUGAAGUCAUUUAUGUUCUUCUCUAAACUGGUUAUCCUAGUUAGCAGUUCCUGUAACCAUUUAUCAAGGUUCUUAGCUUCCCUGCAUUGGGUUAGAACAUGCUCCUUUAGCUCGGAGGAGUUUGUUUUUACCCAUCUUCUGAAGCCUACUUCUGUCAGUUUGUCAAACUCAUUCUCCAUCCAAUUUUGUUCCCUUGCUGGCAAGGAGUUGUGAUCUUUUGGAGAAGAGGCAUUCUGGAUUUUGGAAUUUUCAGCCUUUUUGCCCUGGUUUUUCCUCAUCUUUGUGAAUUUGUCUGUUUUUGGUCUUUGAUGUUGGUGAUCUUUGGAUGGGGUUUUUGCGUGGGUGUCCUUUUUGUUGAUGUUGGUGCUAUUGCUUUCUGUUUGUUAGUUUUCCUUCUGACAGGCUCCUCUUCUGCAGGUCUGCUGGAGUUUGCUGGAAGUCCACUCCAGACACUGUUUGCCUGUGUAUCACCAGUGGAGGCUGCAGAACAGCAAAGAUUGCUGCCUGCUCCUUCCUCUGGAAGCGUCAUCCCAGAGGGGCACCUGCCAGAUGCCAGCUGGAGCUCUCCUGUAUGAGUUGUCUGUCAACCCCUGCUGGGAGAUGUCUCCUAGUCAGGAGGGACAGGGGUCAGGGACCCACUUGAGGAGGCAGUCUGUCCCUUAGCAGAGCUCAGGUGCUGUGCUGGGAGAUACGCUGUGCUCUUCAAAGCCACAGGCAGAACGUUUAAGUGUAAUGAUAUUGAUACACAACAUGGAUGCAGAAGGAUUUCCAGUAAAUUACAGGCACUGGAAGAAAGUCUUGGGAGGAUGAAGACUGGAGCCGAGCAAUCCACAGCUUUCAAGGAUCUGCUUACAGAUUUGGGAAACCGUAUUCCAUUUUCCGCCCAACUAUCUUUGCAGAGUCAUCCUCAUCACUGUUCCCUCUCCUCUACCCUCAGCCCAAAUUCUACACGUAAAGCAAUAUUGGUGAGAGAACAAGCAGAGCCCGUGAAACCAGGCUCCUGGGCUUGAAGUCUUGCUCUGCCACUUUAUGACCAAGGCGUUUAUAGGAUGAAUGCAAAGUUGGCUUAACGUUUAAAAACAGGCCAGUGCAAUUCAUCACAUUAAGAGAAUAAAGAAGAAAAAUCACCUGCUCAUCUGAAUAGAUGCAAAAAAGUAUUUGACCAAAUUUCAACAAACCAUAGAAAAUUAGUCGUAUCUAUGAAAAACCUACAGCUAACAACAUUCUUAAUCAUAAAAUACUGAACGUUUUACCCUAAGAUCAUGAACAAAGCAAGGAUGUCUGUGCGUAUGACUUUUAUGCAGUGUUGUACCAAAGGGUCUAGUCAGUGUAACAAGCAUUAAAAAGAAAUGAAAGUCAUACAGAUUGUAAAAGAUGAAGUAAAAUUGUCUUUAUUCUCAAAAGACAUGAUUGGAUAUACAGGAACUUCUAAGAAAUGUACUUCAAAAAACCCUCCCAGAGCUAGGCGAAUAUAGCAAGAUCACAGAAUUUAGGGUGAACAUAUAAACUUAAUAUAUGGAAAUACAGCUGCAUAAUUUACACAAAAUUGAAAUAAUGCAGUAGCAUAAAAACCCUUACAAUAUAUGAGAGUAAACACCAGCUAGAGUAGUAACAGUAUACCUGCUAUGCUCACACUACAUGUAUAUACAUAACACCUGCACCAUGCACACACAGAAUCGUGAAGGCAGCAGCCUCGGCAAGACUUCAGGUGACUGUAAAUAAGUAGCACUUAUUUUUAUGUUCCUCAGCUCUAUCCUGUCUGGCUAUGCCUCAAUCUUCAAUCUUUUUCAAUCCAAGGCUUAUUGGGUACGGGUUAUGCUGGGAGAUUAAGUGAGGCCCAGGAGUUGAUAUAGCAGCAAUGAAGUCUUUGAGACCUUCCAUGAGUCAUUUUAGUGGUGCAGAAGGGGAACAGCCUGAUUAGAGUGAUUUCACAAAACAGGAGAGGAGGAAAUGAAGAUUAGCAGUGAGGAAACUCUUCAGAGUUUUAAGGUAAAGAGGGUAGAAAAACUGGGCCAUAGUUGGAAGAGAAUGCGGGCUGAAACCAAAUUUUUAAUUUUUUUUCCUAAGAUGGGAGAAAUUUGUGUCUUGAUGGGAAUGAUCCUAGUAGAGGUGGAGAACUGUUGAAGUGAUGUCCGUUUGUGAGUGAGAGGGUGUUCACAAAUGCAAGAAGGUUGGCCUUAGAAUGGAUGAACUCUCUGUGCUCCCCAGUGACAAGGUCCAGGGCUAUAGGCACAGGCAGGCUGGUGGGUGUGGAGGCGGAUCAGGUGCAGAUUCUCUUUGCAUUGCUUAUAUUUUCUCAUGGAAUAAGAAACAAAGAAAUAGGGGUGUUGGAGGUUUAAAGGGAGAGAAGUUGAGAAAUUGUUGCAAAACACUAGGAGAAAACCAUGAACUAGGUAAAUAUGGUAGGACAUUGGGCCACAUGAAGGCCCCUUGAAGUUAAAGUGAGACCAGGCAGCAUGGUUGUGUAUUUCUCUCCAGCUGUUCACAGCUGAAUGGGAACAGGUGGAGUAGGCAAAGCAUUAGGCUUAGCCAGGGGCUGUGGUUUUGCCAGAUAAAUAAGAGGAAUGGAGAAAGAAGCAAAGGUAUGAUUAUAAUAGAGCCAUGGAAAGGAAGUUUGAUAAGGGGGAAAAUAACAGGGAUAAAAGGUGAGUGGGAAAAGGUGGUAGGAGUCCUAGAGUGUAGGACUCUCUUGGGUUCUGAAGAGUUGCGAUAAUAACCCAAUGCUUGGCAUCUGUAGUCCUUCAGGGUUGUAUACCAAGUGGUUCGAGUUUGUUUGCAUAAUAAAACUAUGAGGUACUUAGGGCAGGUGGUGGUGGUGGUGAUUCCAAUAGCUGAGACAAGCUCCAAAGAGGUAAAUGGCUUACUGGAAAGUCACACCUGGAGUCAGUGGAGAAGCAUAGACUCAUCCACAGUUCUCUACCAUGGGUAGUCUUUUAUCCCUGUGUGUGGUGUCUGCUCAUGGAUCACUCAGUCUUGUUGAAGAGGUGGAAGGUAGAAGACAGCCUAAGACAAAAUGUAAUAAUGCAUUCAAUUCUAUGGGAUGGAGUACUAUAAGGAGUUUAUCUGAUCAGUAAUACUAUUAUAAGUACUAGGGAUAUAGCAGUGAACAAGAUAGAAAAAAGGUCUCUCAGUGCUUUGGGAGGCAGAAGCAGGAGGAUCAUAUGAGACCAGGAGUUGAAGAUGAGCCUAGGCAACAUAGUGAGACCCCAUCUCUGCAAAAAAAUGUAUUAAAGAAUUAGCUAGGUAUGGUGGUGUAUGCUCUAGUCCCAGCUACUUAGGAGGCUGAAGUGGGAUGAUUACCUAAGCUCAGGAAUUAGAGGCUGCAGUGAGCUGUGAGUGUGCCACCAUUGCACUCCAGCCUGAGUGACAGAGUAAGACUGUGUCCCUUAAAAAAGAAGCAUCCUGAAGUCCUGUGCUUCAGAGAAGUUUUAGAAGGGUUUCUCUGUGACUCUUCUAAAGCAUCAUGAUAUGGUAAAAAGCACAUUUUACUAAAAGUUGGGAAACAUGUUUUUCUGCUACUUGUUUACUGCUACUCCUUCUGCUUCUGACAUUGUUGCUUCAACUCACCAUGCUUAGUGGAGGUCCCCAUCUAUAAACUAAGGUGUUGUGGCUUUGAGAGUUCUACUCUGUCUAAAAGUGCUAUGCAUUGAGGUCAGUGUUCUAGCCUAAUGAAAUUGUUGCUAUAAAGUGUCCUCACCCAACCUCCUGCUCUAAAGUGUGGAAAUGCACAUCUUAUUUUGUAGUGAUGAGACUCUGUUGACAUAGUGAGAUGCUGCAGUAAAAUGCAUUCAAAGUCACUCUCCACCUUUGAAACUGGGGAAAUCCGAAAGGGAGACAUAGGCUGAGUGCAGGUCCGAGUCCCAUCCUUAACUUAGUGAUGUCUCAGACCUGUUAAAAGCUUUGUAAUAACAAAUGAAUGCUUCCCCUCUUCUUACUCCUUCCUUAGGCCUGGAGGAAACGCUGGUUUAUCCUGCAGAGGGGCCAGACUAGCAGUGACCCAGAUGUUCUGGAAUACUACAAGAAUGAUGGCUCCAAGAAGCCCCUGCGCACCAUCAACCUGAACCUCUGUGAGCAGCUGGAUGUUGGUGUGACUCUGAACUUCAACAAGAAGGAGAUUCAGAAGGGCUAUAUGUUUGACAUCAAGACCAGUGAGCGUACCUUUUACCUGGUGGCUGAGACCAGGGAGGACAUGAACGAGUGGGUCCAGAGCAUCUGUCAGAUCUGUGGCUUCAGGCAGGUUGAGGAAAGCACAGGUAUGGGAGCACACACAGCCCUGUCUCAUGAGGGGCUGAGAUGAGGCCCUCCAAUCUCCAGCAAGGAGGGCAGCUCUAGCUGCCAACACUGCCAAGAAGUGUUGGGCUUGUGAUGAAGCUAAAGGCAUUUUUGGUGUUUCUUCAGACACCUCGAUACCACUACCAUCCUCAGUCCUCCACCUCUCCCCCUUCCCUGAGCUCUUUGCCCUGUCACCUCUCAGCCACCUGUAGGGAAGACCUCUCCUUUGCCUUCUACUGAUCCAUCUCUGGCUGUUCUGGCCCUACUUCAGACCACCUGGCACAGUUGCACUUGACCCUUGGUGGGUUUGUUUGGGGUUGCUUUUUGAUUCUUACUGAUUUAUAAUCACUUAGGAGGGGACAGGUGAGAGGAGGAAAUACAGACUUAUGCUUGGGUUUUAAUAACCUUCACAAAAGAGUUGUUCAGCUUUUUAAAAUGAGUUGUAAGUUGCAGAAAUGCUCCUUCACGUUUGUUCAGGCUCAUCCUCUACCCACCAGGAAGGUUGAGGAGCAGGCUUUUUUUUUUUUUUUUUUUUUUCCUGAGGCAGAUGUAUGGUCUAAAUUGGCCAUUCUUGAACCUGGUUGCACAUCAGAAUUAAGGAGGGACAUUUUUAAAAUGUUGAUGCCAAGGACCUGUGCCAAGUGAGUUACCCAGGAAUCUCUUGGGUGGCGGACCCAGGCAUUAGUGUCUUUUGGAAGCUCCACUCCUUCCCACUUUUUUUGGGAGGAUAAAAUUGAAAAAGUAAAGCUUCAUUUUGAGUAGCAAGGGUCCAGGGCUCAGCAGAUACUUCCUGUAAAUAUUUUAGAUUUUGAAGGCCACAGAUAGUCUCUAUUUUAUAUUCCUAUUUUUUUAAAUGUUACAAUCCUUUGAAAAUGUAAAAACCAUUCUCAGCUCAUCAGCAUCAGCAUCACCUGGGAACUUGUUAGACCUGCACAUUCUCGUAAGAAUGUCAGUAAGUAAUUUACUCUUGUAAGUCAGUCUGCACCCCACUCCAGACUUACUGAAUCAGAAACUCUGGGACAAAACACAGCAGUCUGGUUUUAAGAACUCUCCAGGCAAUGUUUAUUGCCAGAACUGCUUUGAAAGGAUGUUUCUGGAGCUAUAGCCCAUUUGAGAGAGCUGACCAGUUUUAUAGCCAUGGCUUGGUGCUGAUAGACCCCCAGGUCUGCAUAUAAAUGGACUCUGGGUCAUGGAUAGGACUCUACUGCCCGAGUGCUAGACAGGGGCUGUGGAGGUGAGGGUGAGUCACUCUUUCAUCCUCACAGCCCACACAUACAACUGGGGGCAUGAAGGAUGCAUGGGGUGACAGGACAGGGUUAGUGGGUUGUGGAAAAGUGGCCUUUCCUACCAGACUGAGGAGCCUGGACUUUAUUGGGAGGGCAAUGAGGAGCAGUGACUGUCACCAGGGGAGUAGUUCCUUACUAUACUACAUCCUUUGUUUGAUCAACACAUACUUACUGUGUUACACACUGGGCUUGAUUCUGAGAACAAAACCAUUUCAAAAGAGAUGAAAUCUCUGCCCUCACUGAGUUUUGAGCUGAAUGUAUGGGGUGAUGAGAAAGAGGUUGGUAUUUUACUAGAAUUCCAUUUGAAACACGAGGAAUUACUGGCAAGAAACUGGUUGAAGAAAUAAACAGAAAUAUGGUUUUAGAAAGAGAGAGAGUGCUUUGUGAGUCAUCUUAAGGAUGCAGCGCAUUGUGGAAGAGCUUUCCAUGAGCAAUGCCGUAAGGACAGGACAUGGUUGGUGAGAAAGAGUGAAGAGUCGCAGUGAUGCCUGGGCUCUGGCUUAGAGAGUGCAGUGGACAGUCAUGCUGAUGUGCCUCACCGAGAGGGAACACAGGCAUGCGAGGGGCUCACUUGGAGCAUCGGGGACACCUGCUUGUGGGGUGUCUGCCUUGCGGCAGGGAGCCCCAGAAAGGCCUGAGCUGCAGGUUCAGAUUUUAGAGUUGCCAUCACUUAGGUGGUCCUGGGGGCUGUGGGAGGACAGAAUCACCCUGCGGUAUCCGGAGUCAGGGUGAGGCUGAGGAGGGUCUAGAGCAGAACCCUGAAGAAUAGCUCCAUUGAAGGCAGAGGAAACAGAUCCAACAAGAUGGCAGGAGCAGAGGCUCAGCAGAGCUUCCCAGGCUGCACCCUCCCUGGGCAGCAGCUGUGUUCAUCCUUGGUGCCGUGGCUGCUUGGCCCCCUAGCAUAGACCCUUGAUCCUCCACUGGUAGAGCAUUCAUCUUGCAGAUCUUUUGGAGCUACAAGGCCAUUGAUUCUGUUAGCAGACAUCCCACUCACCAGGAGACCUGCAUGGGAGCUCAUCUUGGAGUGCACAUAGCUGUAAGUGGAGCCAUCUUUCCCAGAGUCCUGCCAUAUGUUUUUGUUGCUCACUGGCAGAACGUGUCUUGCCUAGCAUCAGAAACAGCUGGAGAGGAGCAGACACUCAGGGGCAUUAGCCAGCUGGGGUUCCUGCCUCAGGCCGUGAGGUGGCACAGCCAGAAAUAGGCCAGAUAUCAGGGGUCAGAAAGAGAACUCUGCCCCCUCUGAUAUGACUUGAAGAACCCUUAGAAAGCCACCAUCAGCACCACCCAAACAUAACCCCACUUAGCGAUCACAUCAUUUGAAAUUACACCUGUAGACCUUCAUUUCUUUUGAACAAGAAGUUUUGCUGUUGGGGUUUUUGAUUGCUGAAAGUAUGUUUUUAUUUAUUCUGCAAACACAAACUAAAAACUAUCUAUGUACCUGGCUUCUGUUGGGUAAAUGCUUGGGCUGUGGAGGUAACAACAUCAGUAGCGGUUCUCAAAAACCCAUGGACUGGGCAAGGAAGUGCCUAUGAUGGGAUCACACAUGUAACGGGAACAUGGGCCAAGUGCUGUGACACCCAGAAGAAAGUCGGUCCCUGAAGUUUCAGAGAGAAUAUGAUAUUUGAGCAGGGUCUUAAAGUCUGCAUGUGAGUUUGAGUAGAAGUGAAAUCCAGGCAGAAGGAACAGCAUAAGCCAAAGCAAAGAAGCCUGAAAGAGGCCGGUGUGUGCAGGAUGGCUGAUGCUGCCAUAUACCUUGGUCGUGGGUAUAGGAAAGCAGGAAACAGGUCAGACUGUGAAAGGCCUUGUAGGUUCUGCUGAGUAGUGUGGACAGGUCCUGGAGAGCAAGCCAGAUGAACAGUGUGCUGGGCUUGGGGUGCAGCAAAGUACCACCUGUCCAUGAUACCUCUCUUCCUUGCCAACACCACAGGAGAGUCUGAGAUGCCAUGGAAGGACAGGCAGGAAAGCUGGGUUUCCAAGAAUGCGGCUUCAGUUGGCAAGCCUCGCUUCACCCAGACAGCCUUAGCUUUGAGGGAGGCCAUGACAGAGGAGCCACCAUGGAGGAGGGAGGUGGCAGCACUCACCACUGCAGAGGCUGUCUUGCCUGGGGGCCCGGACCACACUCCUGGACUGUGGGGAACCACGCCGUCUGGGAGUGGAGCAGUCAGGGCCCAGGGCACUAUGAGGCCUCCAGGCUGCUCCAGGGUAGGAAAGAGGCAGAGCGUCUGCUCCUCAGCCAGGAUAGCCAGGAGGCCCCAGCCCUCCUCUGGGAGGACAGAGGAGGCAGGCAUGUGAGUGGAAGAGUGCUGGUGUUGGAUUACCGCCACUGUCUUCAUGUGUUUCUGCCUCUAGCAGCCCACUUUAGGACAAGGAUGCCCUUCCUUCCUGUUUCAUUCACAGGCUUCCUGGGAAACAUUUCCUUGGCCAGUCACGGCCCCUGCUCUUCUCCAGCUGAGCCCAGCCGCUCCCAUCAGCACCUCCCCCAAGAACAAGAACCCACAUCUGAGCCCCUGGUGUCUCACUGUGUGCCGCCCACCUGGCCCAUCCCUGCACCUCGGGGGUGUCUCCGCUCGCACCAGCACGCCAGCCAGAGAGCAGAACAUGCAAGGUAGGGGGCUACUAUGGCCAGUGGGGGCAGUGACCCCACAAGGUCUUGUUCUAUUCAGUCCCUGAUUUUUUUAAAUUUCAAAGAGAAGGACAUAAAAUAUUAUAUCUUUCCAGGUAAGCAAACAUAUAUAACAACAUUUAAUUUUUUGUUUAUGUAGCCUUCACAUUUUAUUUGUUUUAUUUAUGUUGCUACAAAGUGAUAAUUGGAUUCCUAAGAAACCUACCAUUAUAAAAAAACCAUGCCAUGAAAAUUUUGUUUGAUUGUGGGGAAAAAAGCAUUAGAGGCUAGAGUUUCAGAACUGCAAAUAACAAAGUUGGUUUAUGUGUUGGCCUUAAGAGGACAGCUAUGAAACCUUAAGAUUGAUGACCAGAUCCAUAGCUCAGUUGAAUUCUAAGCUGUGCUGCUCCACAGUAGCUGCAGUCAUGGCUAUUUAAAUUUAAGCUAAUUAAAAUUAAAUUAAAUUUCUAGUUCAGUUUCUCAGUUAUAGUAGCCACACGUCAAUGCUCAGUAGCCACCAAAGUGACUAGCAAAGAUAGGCAGCAUGUCCGUCACCACAGAUGGUUUCACAAGGGACUCCUUGCUCUGGAACCAUGACCUCUGCUUCUCUGACACCACUGGCUCUCUCACAGGGGCAGGGCCUGCACCAGUUUUAUCACCUGUUAUUCCCAGUGUAAGGUCAGGCAAAUGUGCAGAGGGGAUGGGCUUGGCCAGAGCUGGUGCUCAGUUGCUACUGUGGCACUCAGAUCACAGUCACAUUCCUUGGUUUGUUAGUUUAGAAAUACCUAAAUCAUGCUGUGAAAAUGAAGGCAGACAGAUAAAUGGCUGUCUUAAUAGAUGACUUCAUGACAUCUGUGAGAAUAUUUUCAUACAUAAUCUCACUUGAACCAGUCAAACAUAUGAGAGAUAGCUAGGAAGAUCAUUUAUCUCCAUUUUAUAGGUGAAGCACCUGAGGCUCACAGCUAUCAAAUGGUAGAGGCGGGACUAGAACCCAGGUGUCCUCACAUCUGUCCUGAACUCUUUGCCCCACACUUUGCUGCACUCCUGGUUUUCUAAUCCUUUUUCUGUAACAUGGCAGGGGCUCCAGCACUCAAUCUGAAGGCUAGUUCCAUCACCCAUUUUCCUGAAGCAAUGCAAUUCCUUCGUUUGUGAACUUUCAGCAGUUCCACCUUCAUCAACUGAUACAUGAAGAUCUGUGUUCUAGAAAGAUAGAACGAAUUAACCAAGAUCACUAAACUAGUUAGUGGCAGAACCACACCAGUACCUGCCUCUCCUGAGUCCCAGACCAGGGAUAGGCAGUACAGUGCAAUGGAAAGCAUGGCACAGGCUUGGCAUCGGCCAGAUAUGGUUUCAAAUUGAGGUUCUGCCACUUUUCUUGGAAUCUUAGGCCACUUAUUUAACCUCUUUGACCUUCAACUUAUCUUCAGAAUGGAAACGACUAACUCAAAGGCUGAUGGGUGUAAGGUGGCAGAACACACAUGAAGUGCACAGUGGCAGAUGCCCAGUCCAUGUUACCUGUGGUUCUCCCUGUGCCCCUUUCCCUCUAUUGCAUGUAUGAAUGCCUGGACAGAGAGAACUGAGGUCUUCCAGUCGUUGUUCUUGUAAAAGACACAGUGCUUCAUGUUGGUGCCCUUCAUACUUUCACAUGCACGUGGAACACCUGAGGAGCUUGCUGAGAUGCUUGUUUUCAUCAGCGAACCUAGGAUGGGUCCUACAGUCCUGCCUUGCUGACACAGACUGAGGAUACUAGUGCAGCUCAUCUGCAGGACACACUUUAUGUAGAAGGCUUGGUAUACUAACAGCCACCACCACCUGUACUCCCAUGACACAGCUGAAGCAAAAGGAGACAGACAGGUAAAUGUCUGCUUGCAUGAGCAGUGAGGGUCCACUUUCUGUAUUCCUUCCUUCUCUGUGAAAUUCCUGUUAGUCUUACCAGCAGGAGUUGGUUUCUUUGAAUCACCACAGCAGUUUUUUAUGUUCUCUCUGCCAGCAUUUGGGGCUGUCUGCCUCAUGUUAAUGGAUUUCUGUGUUAAGAUGUUCUGGAUGUUAUGGAGGUCGUGUUAUGGAUUUCUGUGUUAAGAUGCUCUGAGGACACAAGGCAGGGCAUAUAGUAUGUCUUUAGCAGUACAUGAUCAGCGUUUGAUGGUCGUGUGCUGUAGUGAGAUGGCACAUUUGAGGAGAAAGAACUGUCUAAAGCUUAGGAACAGCACUGCCAUGGGCCCUUGGCCAAGCUGUGCUGUCCUCUUUGUUUUCGCUUGUGUGGAUGAGGGAGUGAGAGAACAAUUAGCAAUAUCUCAGUGUAGUUUCUACAGAAAAGUUAGACACUGUUUGCCAAAUUCCAAGGGGAGAUGGAGAAUAGGAAGGAAGCUUUCUUAAGUCCUGAAAGAUGAUAUUGUUUCUGAUGGUAGUGGCAUAGCUUGCAUCAUACUAAACCUACUGAACAGUUAGAAACUGAGACAUUAGAAAACAAUUGUUUGAAGGCACUAAAGAACAAUCAAAACUCUGGAACAGAUUUGACUCUUGAAAGAACUGAGAUUCAAUUUCCGUGGCUUUUCCUAGAACAGAUCCCAGAUAUUCAGUAUCCAAUGAGAAAUUACUAGCCGUAUGAGUAAAUGGUAAAAGUUGACCCACAGUUUAGAGAACUCAGUACAUAGAAACAGACCAGAAUAGACCCAGAUUUUGGAGCUAGCCUACAAAGGCUUUAAAAUAAGUAUGUUAACUUUUUAAAUCUGUGGGCAAAAAAUGUAUGUAAUGGGUGAAGAGAUGAUGGAUUUUGGGAGAGAUACAGGGACCCUGGUAAAGGACUUAGGAGUUCCAGCUCCACUGUGGUGGCAGACCCACUGCAGGAUAUCAUUCCCAGAUCACAGCUUAAAACUCUGGACACAUACAAAGUACAAUUACCCAAAGACCCUGGGAGGUAAAUGAAAGGAGGCAGGGUGUGGACUGGAGAAAAACUUGGAGCAGCAAAUACACAGAGGUCAAUUUUCUGUCUUCCAUGGAUUUGCCUCCAGGGUGCACCCACACAAAGCAGCACAGUGGGGCCAGUGGUUAAAACUUUCCUGGAAACUCCAUCUUUCUAGGUAGAGGAACCAGGAAAGAGCCCAGUGGAGCUGGAAAGGAUUCUAGAGCAGAGUGAGCUGGAGAAGGGAUCUGCUAAUUCUGAGCACGAAACCACCCAAGUCUUAUGCUCACCUUGAGCUACAUGUGUGUAGAAAGUCCCAAACCAGUGUAACAGAGCUAUAUGAACUGAGCACAGCUUGGAACUACCACACAUAGGAGAGAUGGAACUUGCAGUCUCAACCUUAACCAGCUUGAUUUCCUGCAGAAACCAAAACAUCAACAUUCUCCCAAGGAUUAUGGCAACCCACAGUCUACACAAAACACAACAUGCACAACAUUCAGGAUGUAAUUCACAUUUUCUCAGCUUACGGAGAACCAGCAGAAUUUAACCAGUUUUAAUUGGAAGACACAGAUGUGAACCUCAAGAUAAUACAGAUGUUGGCUAUAUACCCAGCAGUGAGAUUGCUGGAUCAUAUGGUAGUUCUAGUUUUAGUUUUUUGAGGAACCUCCAUAUUGUUUUCCAUAGUGGCUGUGCUAAUUUACAUUCCUACAAAGAGUAUAUAGAGCAUUCCCAUUUCUCCAUGCCCUUAUCAGCAUUUGUUAUUAUCUUUUUGAUAAUAGCCAUUUUAACUGGGGGAGAUAUCUCAUGUGGUUUUGAUUUGCAUUUUCCUAAUGACUAGUGACGUUGAUCAUUUUUUCAUUUACCUGUUGGCCAUUUGGAUGUCUUCUUUGGAGAAAUGUCUAUCCAGAUCUUUUGUCCAUUUUGUAAUCUGAUUGUUUGAUUUUUUUGUCCAUUGAGUUGUUAGAGUUCCUUAUAUAUUCUAUUAAUUUCUUAUUGGAUGAAUAGUUUGAAAAUACUUUCUCCUAUUGCGUAGAUUGUUUCUUUACCUUAUUAAUUUUUUCCUUUGCUAUACAGCAAAGCUUUUUAGCUUGAUGUAAUCCCAUUUGUCAGUUUUUGCUUUGAUUACCUGUGCAUUUGAGGUGCUAUUCAAGAACAUAUGGCUAGACCAAUGUUUUGAAGUGUUUUCUCAAUGUUUUCUUCUACAUGUUUCAUGGUUUCAGGUCUUACAUUUACAUGUUUAAUCAAUUUUGAGUUGAUUUUUGUAUAGGGUGAGAGAUAGGGCUCUAGUUUCAUUCAUACAUUCAUAUGGAUAUUUAUUUUUCCCAGCACCAUUUAUUGAAGAGACCGUUCUUUCCCCAGUGUAUACUCUUGGCAUCUUUGUUGGAAAUGAGUUGACUGUAAAUGCAUGAAUUUAUUUCUGAGAUCUGUAUUCUGUUCCAUUGGCCUGUGUGUCCAUUUUUAAGUCAGUGCCAUGCUGUUUUGGUUAUAGCUUUGUAGUAUAUUUUGAAGUCAGGUAAUAUGAGUCCUCCAGUGUUGUUCUUUUUUGCUCAGGGUUGCUUUGGCUGUUCUGAUUCUAGUGUGGUUUCAUAUAAAUUUUAGAGUUUUUAUUUCUAUUUCUGUAGAAAAUACAGAAUGGUAUUUUGAUAGGCAUUGACUCUGCAGAUUUCUUUAGGUAGUGCUGGGGUGAUCAGAUGCAACACCAGACCAUGAGGGCUAUGAAGUCUGGUGGACUGAAAGGAAUGAGAAAAGACAAGUUAAGAGUGAAAGUGGGACCAGGGGGCCAAUGCUAGUAUGGAGGCUGUGAAGGCUCUGAGCUCUGGGAGCCCAUGCUAUUUAUUGGUGAUCAAAGAAACAGGUGGUGAGGAUGUGGGGUUGAAAGGUAGUGACACAUCAAGCCCAUGAUCUACACCUGUGAUGGUUUAGCAUUUUCUUUGAAGCAUAUGGAACAUGUUCUGCUACUUGAGAUAAUGGAAACAUGUUCUUCUAGUUUAAGAUACAAUCAACCUAUGAUCCUGGGAAUGCUAGAAACAAGGAGCCAGCAAGUCUAGACACAUUCCAGAGGCCACUAGGGGUUUUAUGCCCUGAGCCCUGGAUUCCAUCCACGCCACGAGGGAUUUUAUGCCCUGGGCUUAGAUUAUGGUGCGGCAGGGCAGCCUUCCACCCUUUGGCACAGAAUUUGGUGUUCCAAAGGCCAAGAGGGGUUUUAGACCCUGGACCCUGGACAUGUUCCGAGACUCUUUUACAUUAUGUCAGACAUGCAAGCCCUGCCUCAGCUUUUUUCCCAACACUCAGCUUUUCCCCAACAGAAGUCAGGUAAUAUGAUUCCUCCAGUUUUGUUCUUUUUGCUCAGGGUUGCUUUGGCUGUUCUGAUUCUUGUGUGGUUUCAUAUAAAUUUUAGAAUUUUUGUUUCUAUUUCUGUAGAGAAUACUGAAUGUAUUUUGAUAGGCAUUGAUUCUGCAGAUUUCUUUAGGUGGUGUGGACAUUUUAACAAUAUUAAUUUUUGCAAUCAUGAUCAUGGGAUAUUGUUCCAUUUUCAUGUCCUUUUUAAUUUCUUUAAUAAAUAUUUUAUAGUUUCAUUGUUGAGAUCUUUUACUUCUUUAAGAUUAUUUCUAAGUAUUUUUUGUAGCUACUGUAAAUGGGAUUGCUUUCUUAAUUUCUUUUUUUAGACUGUUUGUUGUUGACAUAUAGAAAUACUACUGAUUUUUACAUAUUGAUUUUGUAUCCUGCAUCUUUUCUGAAUUUAUUUAUCUGUUCCAACAGCCUUUUGGCAUUUUUAAGUCUUCCUAAAUAUAAGAUUAUAUUGUCUGCAAACAAGGACAAUUUUACUUCUUCCUUUUCAAUUUGGAUGCCCUUUCUUUCUCCCUUCUCAUUGCUCUGGCUAGGACUUCUAGAACCAUGUUGAAUAACCGUGUGAAAGUGGGCAUUCUUGUCUUGUUCCAGAUUUUAGAGGAAAGGCUUUUCAUUUUUCCCUGUUCAGUAUGAUGCUAGCUGUGGGUUUUGCAUGUAAAGCCUUUAUUGUUUUGAGGUAUGUUCCUUCUAUACCCAGUUUGUUGAGAGUUUUUAUUGUCAAGGGAUGUGGCAUUUUAUCAAAUAACUUUUUGUCAUAUUUUGAAAUGAUCAUAUGGUUUUUGUUUUUGAAUUUAUUAAUGUGGUGUAUCAUGUUCAUUUCUUUGCAUAUGUUGAACCCUCCUUGCAUCCCUGAAAUGAAUCUCACUUGAUCAAGAUUAAUUAUCUUUAUAAUAUAUUGUUAUAAACAUCAGGGAUGUUUUCUUCUUUUGUUGUAUCUUUGUCUGUUUUUGGUAUCAGGAUAGUGCUUCAUAGGAUGAGUUUAGAAGUAUUCCAUCCUCCUCAACAUUUUGGAAUAGUUUGAGAAGAAUUGAUGUUAGUUCUUCAUAUGUUUGGUAGAAAUCAGCGGGGAAGCCAUCAGGUCUUGGGUUUUUCUUUGAUGGGAGUUUAUUACUGUGUCUAUCUUGUGACUUCUUGGUCUGUUCAGGUUUUCUAUUUCUUCAUGAUUCAACCUUGCUAGGUUGUAUUUGUGUAGGAAUUAAUCUGUAUCUUCCAGGUUUUCCAAUUUUUGGCAUAUUGUUGCUCAUAAUAGUCUCUGAUGGUCCUUUGAAUUUUUGUCUUAUCAGAUGUAAUGUCUCCUUUUUUGGCUCUGAUUUUAUUUAAGGCUUGACUCAUUUUUUGUUAAUCUAGCUAAAGGAUUAUCAAUUUUGUUUAUCUUUUCAAAAAAGUAAAGUUUUUGUUUCAUUGAUAUUUUAUUUUUUUCACUCUAAAUUUUAUUUAUUUCUGCUAUGAACUGUAAUAUUUAUUUCCUUCUAAUUUGGGGUUUGGUUUUUUCUUACUUUUCAACUUUUUUAAGGGGCAUCAUUUAGUUUUUUUCUACUCCUUACUAUAUUUUAUAUUUAUUUAUUUAUUUUUAUUAUACUUUAAAUUCUGGGAUACAUGUGCAGAACGUGCAGGUUUGUUACAUAGGUAUACACGCACCAUAGUGGUUUGCUGCAUCCAUCAACCCAUCAUCUACAUUAAGUAUUUCUCCUAAUGCUAUCCCUCCCCUAUCUCCCCACCCCUUGACAGGCCCUGAUGUGUGAUGUUUCCCUCCCUGUGUCCAUGUGGUCUCAUUGUUCACCUCCUACUUAUGAGUGAGAACAUGUGGUGUUUGGUUUUCGGUUCUAGGGUAAGUUUGCUGACAAUGAUGGUUUCCAGCUUCAUUCAUGUCCCUGCAAAGGAUGUGAACUCAUUCUUUUUUAUGGCUGCAUAGUAUUCCACGGUGCAUACGUGCCACAUUGUCUUUAUCCAGUCUAUCAUUGAGGGGCAUCCAGGUUGGUUCCAAGUCUUUGCUAUUGUGAAUAGUGCUGCAAUAAACAUACGGGUGUUCUUGUCUUUAUAGUAGAAUGAUUUAUAAUCCUUUGGGUAUAUACCCAGUAAUGGGAUUGCUGGGUCAAAUGGUAUUUCUGGUUCUAGAUCCUCGAGGAAUCGCCACACUGUCUUUCACAAUGGUUGAACUAAUUUACACUCCCACCAACAGUGUAAAAGUGUUCCUAUUUCUCCACAUCCUCUCCAGCAUCUGUUGUUUCCUGACUUUUUAAUGAUCACUAUUCUAACUGGCAUGAGAUGGUAUCUCAUUGUGGUUUUGAUUUGCAUUUCUGUAAUGACCAGUGAUGAUGAGCUUUUUUUCAUGUUUGUUGGCUGCAUAAAUGUCUUCUUUUGAGAAGUGUCUAUUAUCCUUUGGCACCUUUUUGAUGGGAUUGUUUGGAUUUUUCUUGUAAAUUUGUUUAAGUUCCUUGUAGAUUCUGGAUAUUAACCCUUUGUCAGAUGGAUAGAUUGCAGAAAUAUUCUCCCAUUCUGUUUGCCUGUUCACUCUGAUGAUAGUUUCUUUUGCUGUGCAGAAGCUGUUUAGCUUAAUUAGAUCCUAUUUGUCUAUUUUGGCUUUUGUUGCCAUUGCUUUUGGUGUUUUAUUCAUGAAGUCUUUGCCCAUGCCUGUGUGCUUAAUGGUAUUGCCUAGGUUUUUUUCCACAGUUUUUGUGGUUUUAGGUCUUACGUUUAAGACUUUAAUCCAUCUUGAGUUAAUUUUUGUAUAAGGUGUAAGGAAGCGGUCCAGUUUCAGUUCCCUGCAUAUGGCUACCCAGUUUUCCCAACACCAUUUAUUAAAUAGGGAAUCCUUUCCCCAUUGCUUGUUUUUGUCAGCCUUGUCAAAAGUCAGAUGGUUGUAGAUGUGUGGUGAUUUCUGAGGCCUCUGUUCUGUUCCAUUGGUCAAUAUAUCUGUUUUGGUACCAGUCCCAUGUUUUGGUGCCUGUGGCCUCAUAGUAUAGUUUUAAGUCAGGUAGCAUGAUGCCUCCAUGUUUGUUCUUUUUGCUUAGGACUGUCUUGGCGAUAUGGGCUCUUCUUUGUUUCCUUAUGAAAUUUAGAGUAGAUUUUUCUAAUUCUGUGAAGUCAAUGGUAGCUUGAUGGGAAUAGCAUUGAAUUUGUUAAUUUCUUUGGGCAGUAUGGCCAUUUUCACGACAUUGAUUCUUCCUAUCCAUGAGCAUGGAACGUUUUUCCAUUUGUUUAUGUCCUCUCUUAUUUCCUUGAGCAGUGGUGUGUAGUUCUCCUUAAAGAGGUCCUUCCCAUCCCUUGUAAGUUCUAUUCCUAGGCAUUUUAUUCUCUUUGAAGCAAUUGUGAUUGGGAGUUCACUCAGGAUUUGGCUAUUACUGGUUUAUAGGAAUACUUGUGAUUUUUGCACAUGGAUUUUUUAUUCUGAGACUUCACUGAAGUUGUUUAUCAGCUUAAGGAGAUUUGGGGCUGAGACAAUGGGGUUUUCUAAGUAUACAAUCAUGUCAUCUGCAAACAGAGACAACUUGACUUCCUUUUUUCCAAAUUGAAUACCCUUUAUUUCUUUCUCUUGCCUGAUUGCCCUGGCCAGAACUUCCAAUAUACUAUGUUGAAUAGGAGUGGUGAGAGAGGGCAUCCUUGUCUUGUGCCAGUUUUCAAAGGGAAUGCUUCCAGCUUUUGCCCAUUCAGUAUGAUAUUGGCUGUCAGUUUGUCAUAAAUAGCUCCUAUUAUUUUGAGAUACAUCCCAUCAAUACCUAGUUUAUUGAGAUUUUUUAGCACGAAGGGGUGUUGAAUUUUAUUGAAGGCCUUUUCUGCAUCUAUUGAGAUAAUCAUGUGGUUUUUGUCAUUGGUUCUGUUUAUAUGAUGGAUUACAUUUAUUGAUUUUCGUAUGUUGAACCAGCCUUGCAUCCCAGGAAAGAAGCCAGUUUGAUCAUGGUGGAUAAGCUUUUUAAUGUGCUGCUAGAUUCAAUUUGCCAGUAUUUUAUUGAGGAUUUUCGCAUCGAUGUUCAUCAGGGAUAUUGGCCUGAAAUUUUCUUUCUUUGUGUGUCUUUGCCAGGUUUUGGUGUCAGGAUGAUGCUGGCCUCACAAAAUGAGUUAGGGAGGAGUCCAUCUUUUUCUAUUUUUUGGAAUAGUUUCAGAAAUAAUGAUAUCAGCUCCUCUUUGUGCCUCUGCGAGAAUUCGGCUGUGAAUCCAUCUGGUCCUGGGCUCUUUUUGGUUGGUAGGCGAUUAAUUACUGCCUCAAUUUCAGAACUUGUUAUUGGCCUAUUCAGGGAUUCGACUUCCUUCUGGUUUAGUCUUGGGAGGGUGUAUGUGUCCAGGUAUUUGCCCAUUUCUUCUAGAUUUUCUAGUUUAUUUGCAUAGAGGUGUUUAUAGUAUCCUCUGAUGCUAGUUUGUAUUUCUGUGGGGUCAGUGGUAAUAUCCACUUUAUCGUUUUUUAUUGUGUCUAUUUGAUUCUUCUCUCUUUUCUUCUUUAUUAGUCUGGCUAGUGGUCUAUCUAAUUUGUUAAUCUUUUCGAAAAGACAGCUCGUGGAUUCAUCGAUUUUUUGAAGGUUUUUUUGUGUCUCUAUAUCCUUUAGCUCUGCUCUGAUCUUAGUUAUUUUUUGUCUUCUGCUAGCUUUUGAAUUUGUUUGCUCUUACUUCUCUAGUUCUUUUAAGGGUGUUGAUUUUAGAUCUUCCCUGCUUUCUCUUAUGGGCCUUUAGUGCUGUAAAUUUCCCUCUGAACAUUGCUUUAGCUGUGUCCCAGAGACUGUGGUACAUUGUGUCUUUGUUCUCAUUGGUUUCAAAUAACUUAUUUAUUUCUGCCUUAUUUUCGUUAUUUACCCAGUAAAUAAAUUCAGGAACAGGUUGUUCAGUUUCCAUGUAGUUGUGCAUUUUUGAGUGAGUUUCUUAAUCCUGAGUUCGAAUUUGAUUGCACUGUGGUCUGAGAGACUGUUUGUUGUGAUUUCCCUUCAUUUGCAUUUGCUGAGGAGUGUUUUACUUCCAAUUAUGUGGUCAAUUUUAGAAUAAGUGAGUGCUAUGUGGUGCUCAGAAGAAUGUAUAUUCUGUUGAUUUGGGAUGGAGAAUUCUGUAGAUGUCUGUUAGGUCUGCUUGUUCCAGAACUGAGUUCCAGUCCUGAAUAUCCUUGUUAAUUUUCUGUCUCAUUGAUCAGUCUAAUAUUGACAGUGGGGUGUUAAAGUCUCCCAUUAUUAUUGUGUGGGAGUCUAAGUCUCUUUGUAGUCUAGAAGAACUUGCUUUAUGAAUCUGGGUGUGCCUGUAUUAGGCACAUAUAUAUUUAGGAUAGUUAACUCUUCUUGUUGAAUUGAUCCCUUUACCAUUAUGUAAAGCCCUCUUUGUCUCUUUUGAUCUUUCUUGGUUUAAAGUGUGUUUUAUCAGAGACUAGGAUUGCAACCCCUGCUUUGUUUUUUUUUGCUUUCCAUUUGCUUGGUAAAUCUUCCUUCAUCCUAUUAUUUUGAGCCUAUCUGUGUCUUUGCACGUGAGAUGGGUCUCCUGAAUACAGCACACCGAUGGGUCUUGACUCUUUAUCCAAUUUGCCAGUAUGUGUCUUUUAAUUGCGGCAUUUAGCCCGUUUACAUUUAAGGUUAAUAUUGUUAUGUGUGAAUUUGAUCCUGUCAUUACAAUGCUAGCUGGUUAUUUUGACUGCUAGUUGAUGCAGUUUCUUCCUAGCAUCGAUGGUCUCUACAUUUUGGUAUGGUUUUGCAGUGGCUGGUACUGGUUUUUCCUUCCCAUGUUUAGUGCUUCCUUCAGGAGAUCUUGUAAGGCAGGCAUGGUGGUGACAAAAAUCUCUCAGCAUUUGCUUGUCUGUAAAGAAAUUUAUUUCUCCUUCACUUACGAAGCUUUGUUUGGCUGGAUAUGAAAUUCUGGGUUGAAAAUUCUUUUCUUUAAGAAUGUUGAAUAUUGGCCCCUUCUCUCUUCUGAGUUGUAGGGUUUCUGCAGAGAGAUCUGCUCUUAGUCUGAUGGGCUGCCCUUUGUGGAUAACCCAGCCUUUCUCUCUGGCUGCUCUUAGCAUUUUUUCCUUCAUUUCACCCUUGCUGAAUCUGACAAUUAUGUGUCUUGGGGUUUGCUCUUCUCAAGGAGUAUCUUGGUGGUGUUCUCUGUAUUUCCUGAAUUUGAAUGUUGGCUUCUCUUGCUAGAUUGGGGAGGUUCUCCUGCAUGAUAUCCUGAAGAGUGUUUUCCAACUUGGUUCCAUUUUCCCUGUCAUUUUCACAUACACCAAUCAAACGUAGCUUGGUCUUUUCACAUAGUCCCAUAUUUCCUUGAGGCUUUGCUCAUUUCUUUUAAUUCUUUUUUCUCUAAUCUUGUCUUCAUGCUUUAUUUCAUUAAGUUGAUCUUCAAUCUCUGAUAUCCUUUCUUCUGCCUGAUGGACUUGUCUAUUGAUACUUGUGUAUUCUUCAUGAAGUUCUCAUGCUGUGUUUUUCAGCUCCAUUAGGUCAUUUAUAUUCUUCUCUGAACUGGUUAUUCUAGUUAGCAAUUCCUGUAACCUUUUAUCAAGGUCUUUAGCUUCCUUGCAUUGGGUUAGAACAUGCUCCUUUAGCUCAGAGGAGUUAUUACCCACCUUCUGAAGCCUACUUCCGUCAGUUGGUCAAACUCAUUCUCUGUGCAGUUUUGUUCCCUUUCUGGUGAGGAGUUGUGAUCCUCUGGAGGAGAAGAGGUGUUCUGGCUUUUCAGCCUUUUUGCACUGUUUUUUCCUCAUCUUCGUCAAUUUGUCUACCUUUGAUCUUUGAUGUUGGUGAUCUUCGGAUAGGGUUUUUGUGUGGAUUUUUUUGUUGUUGUUGUUGAUGCUAUUCCUUUCCGUUUGUUAGUUUUCCUCCUAACAGUCAGACCCCUCUGCUGCAGCUCUACUGGAGUUUGCUGGAGGUCCACUCCAGACUCUGUAUCACCAGCAGAUAUCACCAGUGGAGUAUCACCAGUGGAGACUACAGAACAGCAAAGAUAGAUGCCUGUUCCUUGCUCUGGAAGCUUCAUCCCAGAGCGGCACCUGCCAGAUGCCAGCUGGAGCUCUCCUGUAUGAGGUGUCUGUCGAUGCCUGCUGGGAGGUUUCUCCAGUCAGGAGGGACAGGGGUCAGGGACCUGCUUGAGGAGGCAGUCUGUCCCUUAGCAGGGCUCGGGCAUUGUGCUGGGAGAUAUGCUGCUUUCUUCAGAGCCACAGGCAGAACGUUUAAGUCUGCUGAAACUGCGCCCACAGCUGCCCCUUCCCCCAGGUGCUCUGUCCCAGGCAGAUGGGGUUUUAUCUAUAAGCCCCUGACUCGGACUGUAGCCUUUUUUUCAGAGAUGCCCUGCCCAGAGAGGAAGAAUCUAGAGAGGCAGUCUGGCCACAGUGGCUUUGCUGAGCUGUGGUGGGCUUUGCCCAGUUAGAACUUCCUGGAGGGUUUGUUUAUACUGUGAGGGGAAAACCGCCUAUUCAUGCCUCAGUAAUGGCGGAUGCCCCACCCCCACCAAGCUUCAGUGUCCCUGGUUGACUUCAGACUGUUGUGCUGGCAGCGAGAAUUUCAAGCCAGUGGAUCUUAGCUUGCUGGUCUCCAUGGGGGUGGGAUCCCCUGAGCUAAACCACUUGGCUCCCUAGCUUCAGCCCCAUUUUCAGGGGAAUGAACAGUUCUGUCACUCUGGCAUUCCAGGCGCCACUAGGGUAUGGAAAAAAACUCCUACAGCUAGCUCGGAGUCUGCCCAAAAAGCUGCCCAGUUUUGUGCUUGAAACCCAGGGCCCUGGUGGUGUAGGCACCCGAGGGAAUCUCCUGGUCGUGAGUUGUGAAGACCGUGGGAAAAGUGUAUCUGGGCCAGAAUGCACCAUUCCUCACAGCACAGUCCCUCUCGGCUUCCCUUGGCUAAGGGAGGGAGUUCCCCAACACUUUGUGCUUCCCUGGUGAGGUGACGCCCCACCCUGCUUCGGCUCACCCUCUGUGGGCUGCACCCACUGUCUAACCAGUCCCAGUGAGAUGAGCCAGGUAUCUCAGUUGGAAAUGCGGAAAUCACCCACCUUCUGCUUUGAUCUCGCUGGGAGCUGCAGACCAGAGCUGUUCCUAUUUGGCCAUCUUGCCAGCCACCCAUCAUUUAGAUUUUUAAAGUGUUUAUUUAUUUAAAUGCAGUGACCAAGUGCAAAAGGAAGUGGCUACAAAACCUAGGAAACCAUUUUUAAAAGUCAAGGGAGAGCUCUGGGUUGAUAUUGACACCAAAGAAUAUGGAGGAGGUGGUGUGACAGCCCCACAUGCCACCAGCCUCUGUGCAGCCAGAAGCCUAGGACAGGAGGGCAGGUGCACUGCGCUGCUGGCUGGAGUGAGUGUUUACUCCCAAACUGCUUGCUGACUCCAGGAAGCACCCUGCACACUAGUGCUUUAGUGUCUCCCUGUACCAACUUGGCCAUUUCUGCCUUCCUCAUCUGCUAUGCAGGGGUAACAUGUGUUUCUGAGACCUAUUAGGAAGAUUUAAAGUGGCAUCACAUGUCAUGCACCUGACACAGGGUCUUACCUGUUUUAUGCAGCUUCUGUCAGCCUGCAGUCCUGGAAGACAAGUGUCUCUCCAAAUCCACUGCUCCCAGUUAUCCGUCCAACAAAAGCAAUGCAGGACAUCAUAGUAACAUUGGCCUCACAUGGGUGUGCAUGGCAGUAAUGGAGUCCCCAGGACCUCUGAGUCCUCAGAGUUCUCCUCCUGAUUCUUGCCCAAGGGGAGCACACUGCAGCAGGGAUUGAGCAGGGUGUCCAGAGCCCUGGGUGUUGGCACAGUGCUCCUGUUCUUUGAGUAGGUAAUUUCAGGCAUGUUGGCUUCCCUUGAUUACCUUUUACCUGAUAUAGUCCUGCUCAAAAUGCAUCAGUGUCAUCUACCAUAAGCCAGGCAUAAUUCCAUGGGACAGGAUGUGGCCCUCUGCUGUCUUGGAGGACAUGGUUGGCUAGGAGUAGAGAGACACAGACCCAGAAACCAACACAAGACAGAGCAAGGUCCAUGUUCUGAUGGGAGCCCAGGUGCUGUGGGAACAGGGAGGAAGAGCACAGGGUCUGCUAGGAGUGGGGAGACUCACACUGAUAACACACACCAGACAGAGUGAGUGCAUGUGCUGAUGGGAGCCCAGGUUCUAUGGGGGCACAGAGAAGGGUAUGCUUAAGAUGAGAGGGAGAAUUAGGGACCAGUAAUUCUUUUGUAGAUGGAAAGUCUUUUGGACUUGGUGUAACAUUUUGAUGCAUCAGAGAGAAGCAUUCCAGGGCGAGGUGAGGCAUGCACACCCAGGGAUGGGGUUUAGACCAUGUGGGACGUACUCAGGGGUGAGUAUCUGAGCUGGAGUAAAGGACCUGGGGCAGGCGGAUGUUUGGACAUAAGAAAGUGGGGUUUAAGGAGGAAGAGUUUGGAUCUGCUGGUCCAAAGUGUUUGGGCCAAGCUCAGGAAAAAGGAUGGCAGCACCCCACUUUUCUUUAUUUACUUUUUCAUUCAUUUGCUUGUUCCUUCAGCAAACAUUUAUUCAUUAUUUGCUAUGUGACAAGCACUAACCUGGGUGCUGAGGAAAGAAAGAUGAAUAAGACAGGGUUUCCUUCCUCAGGGAAAUCAUAGUCUGGUGGAGGAGAUAAGUAACAAUGGAGUGUGACUCAGAUAGCAGUUUGCUGCUGCUCCAAGAACAGUUAUGCAGGUGAUUGGUUAUGCUUGGAGAUAGAGGAUCUAAGACAGGCUUUUAAAAAUGUGCCUUUUGAGCUGAAUUUGAAGGAUAAGUGGAGUAGGAGCUUGCCAGAGGGACCUCAGAAGCCAUCCAGGGACAGCUGACAACAGGACAAAGCCCAGAAGUGUCACUGAGAGGAGCACACUGGGGACACAGUGACGUCUGGUUUGAGUGGAUCCUAGGUGGGAAGGGUAACUAGGAAGAAAAGACUGGAGAGAUGGGAUGGAAUAAAGCUGGGGGUUUUUCAUCCUAAAAGCACUGUGACAGUGAUGGAGAUGUUUAAGCUGGGAGGUUAGGAAGGUAAUAGCAGGAUGGAGAGAGCUGGAGAGGCCCUGGGAAGAUGUGAGGAAGACGUGUUAUGAGACCUUUUGUGGUCCAGAGGAAGGAUCAGGAGGAAAUGAGUAGGGUGGGCUCACUAAGGCUGACUGGCGAGUGAGUGGGAGUGUGGGUAACUCCAAUGUUUUGGGCUUGAGAGGCUGGAGCCAAUCCCAAGACAGAAUAGUCAGGAGAAGUAGAUUUCAGGAGGAAGAUGAUGGGCAUAUUCUGAAUAUGCGUGAGAUUACCGCAGGACACCUGAGGUGCUUUCCCCCACCCCAUCCCCACCUUGACAUCCUUCCGAAGCUCUUGAUCCCUUCAGUGCUGGCCUGGCCCCUCCACUGUCAUCUCUCAGCCUGAGCAGCUUGCAGCCCCUUGAACUGCCAGGCUGUGUUCUGCAUCUUGCUGUUUCCAAGUGGAACAGCUUUUCCCUUGUCUCAACUUUUGUCUGGCCAGCUGCUGCAGAUCCUUCCGGGCUCACUCAGAUGGAAGGCUUUGCAUAAGGCUUUCCUGGCACUCUUGACCACCACCAGGGAGGGCUCUUCCAGAUCUGUCUGCAGCCGUGUGCUCAUCCCACCUGAUUGUGGUGGUGUGUGUUCAUGACACCUCCUCCACUGCUGUGAUGCCUGUCCUGCAGGGCAGGUGGCGUCUGUGUCCACUGUGCCUGGCCCAGAUGGAAAGUGGGGCAUGAGCAAACAUCACAGAAGCAAAUCCAGGUGGCAUAUCCACCAGAGAGCUGGAAACUCCAAAAGACCAAGUGAAAGGCACCGAAGACAAAUAUAAACACGAGGAUCCUGCAUCUUCCCCUGCUCUCCUGUCUGCUGGUGAAGCACAGCAUGCUCUAGAGACGUGUUCAGUUAUGGAGGCCCAUGCUGUUGGCUUGGUCUUGUGUGUGGAGAGGAAUAGAAAGGGAGAAGGAAUGCAGAGGCCCAGGAAGGAAGGCUGUGAAGCUCGGUGGCCCAUGUUGGCAGAGGAGGUAGCCUGGCCUGCACACCUGCUUCCCUUCAUUUUUCUAAGCUUCUGGGCCAGCUGUGGCCAUGUCCCCAAGGAACAGCUCCCCACAGGCUGAGAGCAUACCAGUGAGGCAGUUCCAUGGAUUGGUCUCAGAGGGCUGUGACCCCUAGAAACCGCAUGCAAAUGUGCAUGUGUGUGAGACAUGCCUCAUUCUGGGGAGUCACCCCAAGAGCUUUUGCUCAGCUUUUCAAAGAUGCCUGUGGCCAUCAAGAGGCUGAGAACUGCUGCUAUAAGGAUCCAGUCUUACUUUUUUCCCCACAUUAAAUCCUGGGAGGAAUAAUAAUAUAAAAGAUAGGGAAGAAGACCUAGAUCCAUACUUGCUCAGAACUACAUCCUGCAAUUUCCUAGAGCGCCCACACAGAACGUAGAACCCAGUUCCAAAACCACUCUCAUAAAGCCGAAGGCUGUAGAGUUGCAGAGCAAGAUGGACCCUUGGAAAUCACUGUGACGCUGGGUCGUGUCUGGGGUGAUCAGGAAGGCACACAGAGCUUAUCGGUGGCAGCGCUGGAACCUGCCACAGCUCCCUCCUCAUUCAUUGAUUCUCUUUUUACUGCUUACCUUAUCUCCCAAAACUUACGUUUUAAUAAUUCAAAACUUUUUCUUUUUUCUUUUUCCGAGGUAGGGUCUGGCUCUGUUGCCCAAGUUGGAGUACAGUAGCAUGAUCUCAGCUCACUGCAGCCUCGGCCUCCUGGGCUCAAGCCAUACUCCCACCUCAGCCUCCCAACCAAGUAACUGGGACUACAUCACCAUGCCCGGCUAAUUUUUUUUUUUUUUUUUUUUUUUUGGAAGAGACAGGUUUUUACCAUGUUGUCCAGGCUGGUCUCGAACUCUUGAGCUCAAGCCAUCUGCCUGUCUGGGCUUCCUAAAGUGCUGAGAAUACAGGUGUGGGCCACCGUGCCUGGCUUCAAACCUUUUUCUAUCCAAAUAGAGUUGCCAAACAGGAAACCAUUUUUUCUAUAGAUGUUUAGGUUUCUGGGGAGAGAAACUUUUCCUUCGAAUUGCCUCUCUAACCACCCUAAAACCUGGUAGAAGAUGGAUCUGUUGCUUAUGUCUGAAUAGUUCUUUAUAACUUACCCAUUGACACCCAUGAGCUGGUUUACUUUAGAGGGGAACACUGACACUCAGAGAUGAGAUGACUCGCUUGCUGCUUCCUGCCACCCACCUCAAAGCUCUCCCCACCGUCUCUCAGCCUGGGCAUUCAGUUGUGCACAUUCUGCAAUGCUCACAGCAGGGAACCAGUAGCCAGUGUACCUGGCUUGCUGCUCUGUUUUGUGGGGGUGAAACUGACCACCCUGCUAAUCACAGCCAUUGGGGGAGAGGAAUAAGGUCUUGCCUUGAUUGAAUUAGACUCUAGAUAUACUAGAGUCUGAUUUCUAAGCAACCUGCAAAGUGAGUUUUUAAUCACCAUUUUACAGAUGGAGAAACUAAUUCAGAAAGGGAAAAUACUCAAGGCCACAAGGUGGUAAACUCCCAAACUAGACAAACCUCAGGUCUGCCCAAUUCCUCUUCCUGUGUUUUCUCCAUAUCAUCUCACUACAUUGGGCUGUGAACUUCCCCGCCUGCCUCCCUGGGGCAGUCCUGGCCUCCUCUCACCCCUGCCCCUUCCCUUCUUUCUCUCUCUUAGGAGUGCCAGCUUCUCCCAGGGUUCUGAGGCCCCAUUCAUCAUGAGGAGAAACACAGCCAUGCAAAAUCUUGCCCAGCACAGUGGAUACAGUGUUGAUGGGGUCAGCGGUCACAUCCAUGGCUUCCAUAGCCUUUCCAAGCCGAGCCAGCACAAUACAGAAUUCAGAGGCAGCACCCACAGAAUCCCCUGGAGCCUGGCAUUCCAUGGCCACACCAGAGGCAGCCUCACAGGCUCUGAGGUGGAUAAUGAGGGUGUGUACCCCUUCAAGGCACCCAGAAGCACCCUGUUCCAGGAGUUUGGGGGCCACCUGGUGAACAAUAGUGGUGUUCCGGCCACCCCACUCUCAGUGCACCAGAUUCCUAGGACAGUCACGUUAGACAAGAACCUCUAUGCCAUGGUGGUGGCCACUCCUGGGCCCAUAGCCUCCCUUCCCCUGCCCAAGGCAAGUCAGGCAGAAGCAUGUCAGUGGGGCAGCCCUCAGCAGAGACCUUUAGUCAGUGAAAGUAGCAGGUGGUCUGUUGCUGCUGCCAUCCCCAGGCGGAAUACCCUUCCUGCAGUAGACAACAGCCGAUGUCACCAAGGUCAGUAUGAGCCCUCACUGAGACCCAGAGGGAGAGGGGAGGUGGCACCGGGUUCUCAGUGGUUAGCUAGUCCUUGGUCUCCCAUGGCCAAGGGAGACUUGGGAGCCACUCAGGUCACUGAUAGUCAAGUUCAUCUCCUGCCUGGACCUUGACCACUGGGUCCCCCAGCACUGGAGGCUGUUAAUAGACACCCAGUGGCAAGACUGGCAGACUUGGCCUCCACUAAGGGAGACAGAACAUUCUUAGUUACAGUACAGCACAUUAUGGGUUUGGAAUUCUAAAUCAUCAUAGUGUAUGUAUGUUUAAAUCCAAGUAAAGACUUAAAACAGAAGUUUAGGAGAUCAGUCCAAAACUAGAGCCAAACCAGUGUGGACUAACAGACUGUUGAAACAAAAUGAGAUCUUCAAAAUAUUUUCCAGCCUAUAUUUGGGUCUCUUUGUUUGAAGCCUAAACUUGUAUUUGAAAUACCUAGAUUCUUUUCUCGUUUGUUUUCCACUGAGAGUAUUUUAUAUCUGCAUAUAACCUCCUCUCCUCAAUGAAAAAAAAUAGAUCAAUAGUAACUCCUUUCCUUUUGCAUCCAUUCUUAUACCUUGCAAAGCCUUUGUUUAUUCUUCCUGUUAUGAGAGAGUCUGGUGGGGCAAAGCCUUGUUUUCUCCAUUUUAUAUGAGGCCCAUGGUACUUAGGCUUAUUCAGGGUUGAAAGUCAUAAGUGGUAAAGAUGAGCCUCACCCUGAGGUCCUGGAUCCUGGGUUAGAGUUCUUUGCAGUCUUUUUAGUGUUUCAGCAAUUUGAGCAAGGCCCUUGUGCUGUGAAAUUGAAAUGAUAGAGGUAUAUAUAAAACAUGUUUGCUGUUCAGAGCUCACAUUUAUGUAUAAAAUAAAAUGAAACCGACAUGCAGAAGUCAGUAUAAGCACUCUUUACUAUUCCUGGAGGUGGCAGGUGGGUGAAAGGGAUGGGUGGUGGGUGCUGUAGGAGUUGAAGGAAAAGGUGUGUCCUGAGGGCAGGCGUCCAGGAGGGACACUGUGUGGGUAACACUGGAGCUGGACCUGGAAGCCCAGGAGGAGUUGUGGUAGGGAGCAGGGAUGUGUUAGAGGUAACGCUUUGUCAUUUGGGGUUGAGAGUCGUGUCCUCUAGAGCAUCAGUGAGACCCUAAGCAGCACUGGGGAGGGCGUGGGAGGCAUCAACACAUGGAUCAGCUGUGAUGCAUGUGGAUCUCCUUCCUCUGUCGUAGCUUCCUCCGGCAAGUACACCCAGCAUGGUGGAGGGAAUGCCAGCCGGCCUGCUGAGUCCAUGCAUGAGGGAGUCUGUUCUUUCCUGGUGAGUAUGGCUUAACCAGGGGUCCCCAGACUGGCUCAGGGAGGUAAAGGUCACACUCCAUGGAACUAAAAGCACAUCCCCCAAAGGGUGACAGCAUCUCCCUCCUAGGAGCCUGCCUAGGUUCUUGCCUCAGUUCAGAACCAUAGGUUCAGUUUUUGGAUAAGUGAAAUACAGGUAUCCAGGUCUGGAAGAAAGUGAGUACUUAAGUAGAUGGGAUCACAAGUCUUAUCAGCCCUGUGGGUAGCAGAGGGUGCAGAAUGCUGGGGUUCUGGGUGCUCUAAGCAGGUGCUCUAACCCAUGAGGUCCCCUGGAGCAGGAGUGCUUCCCUGUGAGCCUUUGGUGUGGGUAGGCAGAGGGGACAGGCUGCUGGGGUGGUGGGUGAUCUGAUUCAGCAACCUUAUCCAGGAGAUCCUCUGGAGCAGGGGUGCUUCUGUGUGAGCCUCAAGGCAAGGGCAGUACUCAGAGUCAGGUGAGGUGGAUGGAUUCCAGGCUGCCACCUGGAAAGGGUAACCACAGUUCUCCAAGGUGUCAGACAAGCAGCAAGGCCUGGCGUCAGGCUUCUUACAAAGAUGGUGGGAAUUAGGUAACCAAGGCAGAGGGCAGAUGAGGCAGGAGCUGGAGGAAGGCUGUACCUAGGUCUGCUGCAUUGCACAACUCUGUGGCAGCUCUGCCUGCAGCUUGGUGGUCACCCAGGAGCCCGAGUGAGCCCCAGGCUCCCUAUACCUCCCUGAUACCUUGUCUGCUAAUCACAGCCAUUGGGGGAGAGGAAUCUCCUUGUCUGGGGAAGGAAUCUCCUUGUCUGCACCUCACCCCAUACGUCACCUUCCAGGGCCAAGACAUCUGAUGUGAUCCUUGCCUUGAUCAGGGCCUGAGAUGCUGACCUGCCAGUGCCGAGUCAGGACUUGAGGUGGAUGGUGGGUCUCGAGGCCACAUCUGCAUGGUGCAUGGUCUGUGCUGCCUUCUGCCUGGGUCUGGUAUCCAGAAACCUGAGUGGACAUUGGGUGCUGAGCCACACCUGCAUGGUGCACGGCCUGUGCUGCCUUCUGCCUGGGCCCAGCAUCCAGAAACCUGAGUGGACCCAGCCACUAAAGAUAUUUUAUCCUAUAGAUUUGUCACAAAUUGUAGUUGGACCCCAAGGGGUCCUGAGAGCUAGAAGUGCCCAGACAUCUCAUUUUUUUCUUGCCUCUACUUUGAUUUCAGAGUCUUUCCAAGGUCACUCUGAUAGCUUCAAAGUGUAGCCCUCCCCAUGUAGUGAAGGCUUAUAAUUGUAUGCUGCCUUGGCAUCCACAUCGAAUGGAGGUUUAACUUUCUCAGACCAGAGGCAGAGGACUUAGUCUCCCUGAUGGUUUCCAGUUCUACACCACACCCAUGUGGCUUCAGUCAGUGGCCAGAGAUAGGAAUUUAGACUUACCUCCCCCAUGCAGCAGACUGGGCUCGCCACUUUCUUGCUGCUCCCUUUAAAUGGACCAUCCAGGCAUUUACUCUGACCUUAAUUAAGUGAUCCCACACCCCAUUCUGCAAGAUACACUUCCAGUUGCCACCCUCUCUCCUCUUACUCCCUAACCUCCCAGGACCUGUAAGAACUGAAAACUCUUCCACUUUUACAUGUUGACUGUGUCAUGGAAGCUGCUCCAAAGUCUGACCCCUGAGGCUGCCCAGAGGGGCCCCAUGCAUGGGGUUCCUGGCUGGAGCACUUCUAUCUGGGCCGCAGGUGGCUGCUGAAGACAGCAGCCCCCAGCCAAGGUGAUCAAAAGUUUCGUUCAAAACACCCCGUCAUGACUCUUUUUGGCCUUGUCUAGAAAUUCUCAUUCCUAUCUUGUUCUUGCUGGUGAUAGCUGUGUUUCUUUCACUGUCCUCUUCCUAGCCAGGAAAAACACUUGUGGGCCUGUCAGACAGCAUUGCUUCUGAGGACAGCUGUGUGCCCAUGAACCCAGGCUCCCCGACCCUGCCGGCUGUGAAGCAAGCAGGCGAUGAUUCCCAGGGUGUCUGCAUCCCUGUGGGCUCAUGUCUUGUUCGCUUUGACCUGCUUGGCUCCCCACUCACAGAGCUUUCUAUGCACCAAGACCUCAGCCAGGGACAUGAGGUCCAGCUGCCCCCUGUCAACCGCAGCCUCAAGCCUAACCAGAAAGGUAAGUCUUUCCCCAUUCUAUUUCUUGACAAUGUCCAGGGACUCUGCAUUCGCUUAGGUGUCAGGUGGAUCCUGGAUGUGGAACGUCUGACUUUGGCAAGUCAUGUGAAUUCUCUGAGCCUCAGUUUUCUCCUCUGUGAAAUGGAGAUAGUAACUCCUACUUCCCGGGUUUGUUUGGAAGGAGAGUGUCUGGGACAGUGGCCCUGGCUCACAGCAGGCGUCCAGUGAAGUUUGGUCUGGGCCUCCACAUGUAGACCAGGAAGAAGAGCUAGAGCUCAGGUUCCAGGCUGCCAUGACCUCACCCUGUGGCCUUGGCCCAGCAUGGGGUUCAAGGAAGGAGUGGGAUAACUGGGUGGGGAUCAGUCCUGUGGGUCUGGCCACAGGGAACCAGACCCAGCGAGUGGCGCUGGAGCCUCAGCACCUCAUGGUGUCUACCUGCUUCCACGGUGGGCUACACAGCCCUGUCCAAGGCAAGCAGGGGCAGGCAUGGGGACUAAAUCCAUUUCAAACAUUGUGUCUGUUUUUUAUAUCAAGUCAAAUUUAGGCAGAAAAAUCUAUUGUCAGACUAUGAGUCCCCAUUUUGGAUUCUGAAAAUACAGUGGCUAUAGAUACAGUGGGAGGAGCAUAUGAUCUGGAAUCUGAGAACAGAACUCUAAGGCCCUUCAGCAUGACCCAGCCGAUAGAGCCUUGCCAAGCCUCAGUCCCCCGCACACAGCUGGGUGGACUGGGUGGACGGGGUGGGCCUUUCUAAGCACACCUGGGCCUUGUAGCAAAGUGGACAUGGGUGUGGUGUCAUCACUGGCUGAUGACUGAAGGUUCUUUUCUUGCUCCAGCAAACCCAACACCGCCCAACCUGAGAAACAACAGGGUCAUCAAUGAGCUCUCCUUCAAGCCACCUGUCACAGAACCCUGGUCUGGGACCAGGUGAGUGUCUGUCAGUGGAAACAGGAGCUUGGGACUGGGCCGGUGGAGGAGUGAGUGGGAUGGUCAUUGGCUUGUGGUCAGGAUAACUGGAUGCUGAUGUUGAUGUGGACAUGGCUGAUCCUGUCUCCGUCUCAUGAGGCGUGACGGUCUUCUCAUCUGUAAAGGGGGAAUAAUGAUCCCUGUCCCUAUCAGUUCUUGAUCUGGUAACAGUGUGAGGCCUGGAUGCUUGAAGUCAGGGCCCAGCUGGAGGCUGGAGCCCUGACAGCAGCCCUGAGCCCCACCCAGGAUGUACUCCUUGCCUUCUUCCCAUGACAGCCACACCUUUGACUCCAGCUCCUCCCAACACCCCAUCUCCACGCAGAGCAUCACCAACACAGACUCAGAAGACAGUGGAGAGAGGUAUCUUUUCCCGGUGAGUCCUUGGGGGUCACUGUAGGGCUCCUAUCAGAGUCCCCUGGGACCCACACUCAUGUCCCCGCUUCCCAGCUUAGCUACCUCAGCUGACUCACCCCAGCCCAGUCAGGUGUGAUUUGGUCUCCUAUUGCAAGCUCUUCUUGAGCACAGGUGUAUCAGGCAAUCAUUAGGGUUAGGAAGAUGAUGGUCUCCCCUCAAGGAAGUCUGGAACUUGAAGAGCAGAGGCAGCCCACCUCGCCCUCAUGACGGUGAUACAGGUGGUGCCCUGCCCUGGAAGAGGCAGAGUUGGAGGUGUCUGCUUCGCCAUGGGGAGACACACAUGUACGUGCUUCACCCUGGUGAGGGCUGUGAGAGACGUGGAGAUGCAGGUGGAACACAGGAUGCCCCUUAGAUUGGCACUGAAGAGGGCAUCAUGACCAACAUUUGAUAGUUGCUGCAUAGAUAUUGGAAGAAUGAGCCAGCCAGCAAAGCAGCCAAAACCCAGAGCCCAGGGCGGCCACUUUUCUCACCAGAGCCAGACUUCAGGAAUGUCCCAGCAAGGUGGCAGCCUUCUAGAGAGGAGGCUGCGGGACCCCGCGUGUCUCCUAGAGAGCUGCCAAGGGGGCAGGCUCCAUGCAGCCUCAGGUGGUGGGCACUGCCAAUCUCUGGGAGCUGGAGGGGGAGGCAGCUGCUUCAUAGGAUGGACCUACUCUGGGCCAUGGGUGGGAGUUUCAGAUGACUGACUGGGUGCAGCAUCCAGUGUGUGAAGGAGAGGCACAGUAGUAACACCUGGCUCACAGGACUGCUGAGAGGGUUUGAAUGAGCAGAGAGUGCCCCAGUGCAUGGCUCAGAGUAGCACCCAGUGGGCUCGUAGCUACGCCCACAGGUGUGUUCCACUGGGUGCUGGGUCUGUGUCCUGAACUCAUUUGCAGGAUUUUCCUCCUUGUGACAGCAGAACCCGGCAUCUGCAUUUCCUGUUUCCGGUGGCACCAGCAGUUCAGCCCCGCCGAGGAGCACUGGUAACAUCCACUACGUGGCCCUGGACUUCCAGCCGAGCAAGGUGCCUGGGGUGGAGCUGGGGUUGGGGAGAGCCCUUGGGCCCUGGGGGAGAGACUGUGGGGCCAGGCCCUUCAGCACCGGCAGCACCGGGCUACUGGGCUGCCACUCCCAGCCCAGUGCCUGGCUCUUAUGCUCAGUGGUGCUCUGAUCUGGAUCUCGGGGCUCCUGUUCCUUCCCUCUCAGCGUGGUGCCUUCAUCAGCCUGCCCCGACUCCCCAUUAGAGACAGAUGACUGUGUGGAGACCUGAUCUGUGGAGGUUGUGGAAUAAAUCAGGAGAGACCCAGGACCGGCAACCUGGCUCCAGGCCAAACUCUUCUGUGAGGAGAACUCACUGUGUGGGAGGGUUCUAGAGCCCGGCCAUUGAUGCGGGGGACCUCAGAAGGAACUCCUGGGUCCAGGAAAGCCUCCCGAGAAAGCACAUGUAGCCAGCCUGUCUAGACAGCAGGGUGGAGAGCUCCAUCUCUGUGCAUUGCGCCCCUUGGGGAGAUAGGGCUCACCGAGGGCACCCCUGGAAAGGCCUAGGCUGGUGCUUGUUGACACCUGGGAAAUUUCCUGCCAUGGAUGAGUGUUUAGAGGGGAAGGCCUUGGCCAGUCCUUGGGCCAGAGAAGGGCCUGGCUCUUCCUGCGAGGUGGGAGAUGAGAAGUGCUGGCCGGGGCUAUGGCAUCCAGCAGGAGGAGAGGUUAGCCUGGAGUUGAGGCUUUAAAGCCCAGGCCCCCCAGGCUGCUGAGAGCAGGAGGCAGAGGUUCCUUUCCCCCUGAGAAAGUUUGAGAGAGCCCACUCCUUGGCCUGCCCUUCCUCACCAGGAACUCACAGACACUACCACUCCCACUUCCACCCUCUGUCCCUCAGCCAUCCAUAGGCUCUGUCACGUCCGGCAAGAAGGUGGACUAUGUCCAGGUGGAUCUGGAGAAGACCCAGGCCCUGCAGAAGACCAUGCAUGAACAGAUGUGCCUGCGGCAGUCCUCGGAGCCUUCCAGGGGCGCCAAGCUGUGACUCGGGCCACCAAAACCAGAGUGGGGCCAGGACAGUGCCUCAGAGCUGCUCCUCCACACUGUAAAGCUCUGUAAUAUCAGGGACCGCAUCCCUUACAUAGAGAGCAGAGGCCUGAUCAAUAUACAUCCUUUGCCUGCUUGGGGCCCACCUGUGCCUUUGGCUGGCCAUGGUCCCCACCUUCACCCCCUUACUAGGAGCAGUUGCCAGCAAGCAUCCUCAGUCUCUUCCUGCCCCUCAGACCUGGGCUCCCAACAGAUUUCCACUCUCACACUUACUCAUGGUCCUCAGCCUCUUCCCUCUAGCCUCUGGGCUGUUUCCCUCAAUCCUGGAACAUGAGGAGCUACCUUGCUGACCCGGGGACCCAAGGCCCACAGGCCACAGUGGACAUGGACCUUUUCAGCCCUGGCAUUUUUUGGUCAGGGGAGAGGCAAGGCCAUCAAACGUUGGAAUAGUUGAGAAGGAAGGUUAAAGGUGGUCUUGAGAAGCAAAGGAAUUAGAUCCUUAGACCAGCAGGGCAGCUUAUACCUGCAAGGGCUCCCACUUUCAGACUGAGGCCAGAGUAUGGCAGCUGCUCCCGGGUGGGAGAGGCAGAGAGGGAAGGGCAAAAGGAAGGGAAAACAUGAAGACGAACAGCCGAAAGCCACAAGAAGCAGGGCUGGAGCUCCAGAGACUGGGGUGACAAGGACCAGGGUCAGGGCCCCAGAAAUCUGGAGCUGCAGGCUGGCUCUGCUGCUCUUUGCUGAUGCCCCUUGGGGGGCCCUUGCCUGCCUAAGAAGGCUUGAUCUGAGCUGGGCAAAGCAGCAACUGAUGGGGGAAAUACCUGCAGGGUGAGGGGUGGGAUGGGGCAGGGAGCGAGGGAGGAAGGGAGCAUGUGCAGAUGGAGAUGGCUCAGGGCUGAGGGGGUCCUGGGACAGGCAGGGGCCCGAGGCAAGGCCCAGGACUCUGCAGUGCAGGUGGUGCAGCACGUGACCUUCUGUGAAGGGGCAGAGCAGUGGGGAGGGCACAGAGGGAACCCAUGAGAGGCAAGGCCGGGGAGACAGCCAGGGAGAAGUGGGGAAAUGUGGCCAGGGGCCCUGGGGGCAUGCCAGAAGUGGUGAAAGGAAUACAGGAGCAGAAGGUGAAGGGGGGUCUGCUAUGCAUGGGAGCAGUGUGGGAGGCCAGCUGGAGGGGCAUCUGGGACGUGGGUAGAGCCUGCAGGGAGGACGGCCUGGGGUGGGGCUGGGGCUGUGCCAGGCCGUGUUUCCCUCUCACUUCGCCCUCUUCCUUGGCGUUCCAGUGCCACAUUGGACUCAAACUUGGCUAUGGGGACAGGAGAAGCCAGUCUCCUCCUCCUGUGACUUGAGAGAUUCUCAGAUCGCAGGUUCAGAAGGUAGGCCCUCACCCAGGGCUUCUUGUGCCAAAGUUCAGGUAGGGAUCUGAAUUUUUUGUUGAAAGUUUUUGACCAAAAUUUCGAAGAGUUUCAGAAUGAACAGGGCAGAGCGGACACUUCAUCCUACCUUGGGGUGAACAGACUUUCCUCCUCCAAAAAAUGACUGCCCACAGGGUUUGAUGGAGGCGGCCUCCACACCCUGUCAGCACCUGUGAGCACCACACUUCACCAGACCAGGGGCCUGGCUGGCUUCUGGGGAUCCAUCCCUCAGCAGGAGCCCUCUCCCCUGGCAGCUCAAAGGCUCAGGUGGCAAGGCCCCGGGCUUAGGCACUGAGGACACGGAGAAUCUAUUAGACCUUUUCCCAAACGUGACAAGGUCACAUCAGUGAGGGAAAGAACAAGGACACAGACAGUGGUGAUGGCCAAGAUAGGCUGAAGAUGCUGAUGGGGUGCACAGGAAGUGAAAACUCCUCAGGGAGUGGAGGCAGAGAAGGUGGUUUUUAGGACAAGGGGUGCCUGAAUUAGUCUUGAGAGGUUAGGUCAGAUUUUUGCAGGGAAGGAGGGCAGGGCCAGGCUGCAGUGGAGGAAGGAACGACAGACUGGAAAAGCCUGUGCUGAGGGGCCACAGGAGCUUUGGAGGGCAGGUCCAGCUGCUCAGAACUGCAGGGGCCGGGCCUUUGUGCUCCCACGGGUGGAAUGGUGAUGGCCGUGUGACCACACUGGGCAGAGCGUGCAGGGUGCUGGCUCACUGGCCCAGCCCUGACUGUGUCCCUGUAAGGUCCUCUACAAGGGGUCCCAUACAGCACAGCUCUUAACUGCCAUCCCCUGUCCCCAGCUGACUACAGUGGGGCCCAGUAUUGAUCUCAGCUCCCAGCCCAGCCACCUUCCCUGUUGAUCCCAGGCUGCUAAGAAAGUGCUGCAUGUUCUGAGUGUGCAUGGUGUGCACGAACCUGGUGGAGGCUUCAGAGACUGAGGUGUUCAAGUCCCAUCUCCAGAGGGGUUCCUUCCAGCUCUUGGUUCCUGUGACCACCAAACCCUGAGGGUGAAAGUAGGGGUGGAGAUGGAAAGAAGGACAAGAGAAGAGGACACUGGCCUAUUGGAAGCAGAGCUCUACUCCCAAGCCUGGACUCCAGCCAUGUCUAGCAUGUGUCCCCCCCUCCACCCACCAUCCCAGAAGGAAAAGUCAACUCAGCUUAAUACAGGGGUCCUUGGACCUAUCUUGAGGUUAAAGUCCACCUCCCCUGGUGGCCUGGCCAGGACUGAGAGCCCAAAAAGGGACACCUCAGCCAAUGCAGCUCACAUGGGGGCUUGUCCUGCUGGGCUCUCCAGGGGAGCCGUCUUCACCCACCCCCACCACCUGCAAAGUUAGAGCAGUCAGGUGGGAACAAUGAGAAACGGGCAAGGACAUCUCCCUAGGACUUUGCUUUCCCAUCUGUGGAGUGGGUGGUUGGAUUCGAUGUUGUCUGGCCCCUUCCUAGGCUGAGGCUCUGCUGGUCUCGGAGCUCCUUGCUCUGUUACUUCUCUCUGGAGGCUCUGCAUUGCAAGGGAUGAGCAGCACGAGAGCUUUGGCCAAUUAGUCCCUUUCUGGCUUGAUACGGACAACUUCUUCAUUUCAAACUAUUAAAAUAGACCACAUUCCUACGGCAGAAGCACAACCAUUCUGGUUAUGGGAACAUAGGCUCAGCUGUAGUCUGCCUUGUGGUCCUUCAACGUGCUGUGAGGCUGUCAUCUCGGUCCCAGGCCCUGGCACAGCAUCACCCACAUGACUGUGACCCCCAGGGACAUGCAGGACAGGGAAGUGAGCACUUCCGUUCUGGGCCUGGGCCUUGAUCUGGGAAGUGUGGGGGAGGGGAGGCUGACCUGCAGAGCACUAAGAGCAUCAUUCUGGGAUACACCAGGCCCCUGAGGCCUGGGACGAUGGCCGUCUGCCUGCUGAGAGCCCACUGCAGAGUCAGGCUGGUAUGUUUGGUCCAGCGGUGUGUGUCCUUGUGUAUUUGUUGGCUACUUGUAUCUUGCUGUUUAGAAUCAUUUUGUACAGAAUGUUUGGUUUCUCAUUAAGAGAAAAUGGGCAAGAAGCCCAGUCUUAAGUUCUUGUCUUGGUACCAUUUAAAAUUGACAUUUCAUUUUUCAAAUCACUGUUGGUGCCUAAUCACUGAAGUUAUUCCAUUUUCUUUUAAAAUGUUUGUUAUGUGUAUUUACCCUGUGAGCACACCUGGGGGUGACAGGAGUGUGCUCAAGUGGCUAUCAUUUCUGCUGUGGUCACUGGACAGGCCUCGUGCUGGCAGGCUCCUUUGUACUGAGGCACUGGAGCAGGACGGCAGUGAAGUUCAUAAGGAAUACAGCCCAGGGUGGGCUGCUUGGGUCUUUCUGGGAGUGGAGCCCACACUCACUCAAGUCUCACCUUAGGCUGAGCCUGAGCACCUGGCUGCCCUGGGCAGGCACAGACACACACUGUCAACAAGAAAACCAUUUCAGAAUCAUUUCUCCAAUGACCCAGGAAGGCCACUGUGCCAGUCUGUUCACUUCAUCUUAAAUAGGAAAUAGGUACUUUUCCUGGCUCAGAGAGAAAAUAAAUUCUCUUUAUCACAGAAUCUAUUUUCCUAAUCUGUAAACUGGACAUUGUGCUAGCACCUGCCAAUCCGUCUUUCUUAGAAGGGAGUCUAGAGGUGGUUCUGAGAGGGCUUCAUCUGUGUCUGUGUCCACUGGGCCCCUGGCAACAGGUUCCUGAGGUCUGACAUCUCACAACUCCCCUCCACCGCUCCACCCACUGCACAAGUGGGGCAGCCCUUGAGGUCCCUGGUGCCUUUUUACCUUCCAUGUUCUCCCAAAUGGCACUGUAGGAAUGGUGCUUGCGGACCCUGUGGUAAGGGCUGCUCCCAGGGCCCGUACAUGCCCCACUUCUCUGCUUCAACUCCAGGAUGGGGUGGGGCCCAGGAAAGGAGCCGGGUGCGGGCUCUGGAGUGGGAAACCUGUGGUGAGGGCUGAUCUGGGCUCUGAGAGUGUGGCUGCUCCUGCGUUUCUCUAGCUCCAGGCUGGGUUGUUGCCUGUGGUAAGGAGCUAGGUGUAGGCAUGGUAGGUGCACCAUGGCCCUGUGGUGACAAGCUGGUCCUGGGCCCUGCCAGUGUGGCUGCUCAUGUGCUCCUCUCCAGCUCCUGGAUGGGAUGGUGUCCAUGGGAAGGAGAUGGGUUCGAGUUCUGGAGAAACAGGGGGCUGCCUCCCAGCUAGCCCUGACCCGUGCCAAGUCCAGCUCUGGAGAUGUGACAAGCCCCUCUCAACCUCCCCAGCUUCUCAGAUGCAAGGAAAGAGGGAUGUGGCAUCUGCAACAGGUGUUUGUGGGCAGUCCAGAAUUCUUGGGUCUGAAACAUCUCCAGUUAUUUAUUUGGGUUUCAAGUGCACCUGGGAGGUGAGUCCCCUCCACAGUAUUCCACUGGGACCCCCCAUCCUGUGCACCCUUCCUCUCUCUUCCAUUCCAUCCUCUAGGUCCUCCCAGCCUCAGAACUAGGCAAGUCCUUCAGCACACAGGGCUGUCACUCCAUGCUGUACCUCAAGUGAUGGGGACAGGGGUAUGUCCUCUCCUUACCAAGGAGCAGCAUGGGUCCCUAUCAUGCUGCCCAGAUGCAGUGAGGAAAUCGAGGGUACAGCAUACAGGAAGAGCAACAGCUUUCAAAGGCUUCAGAGAGGCUGGUUUCAUACUGCUUGAGAACAAGGGUCUUUCUCUUCAUAGAAAAGAGGCUAUAGCAUGGUCAAGGCACAAGAAGGUCACUGGACUGCCCUCGCUCAGCCCUCAGCUACUGCUCUGGUUGUCCAUGGCUGAAACUCAUCCUGCUGGCCAAAGCCUUUGCUGUUCCAGUUGUUAAAUAUUUUGAUACCACCCUUAACUCUAAAGGGUGGAGUCACAGGCACAGUUAGGAGGUAGAACUAACCUCCCACUGACACUUGGCCAUUCACACUUGUAGAACAGCACACUUACUAAACAACUGCAUAAUUCAUUAUUCAAUGUCUGUUCCUCUGAAGUAAGGGGUUAGGUGUCUGGGCCACCAAUAUAUUCCGAGCACUGAGCAAUGAAUGAAUGAAUGGAUGGAUGGAUUUUUUUAAAAGGCUCAAAGUGAAGGGAAAUACUGUAUCGAACCAGUGCUUGGCUGGGACUGGAUGCAUCUCCACCCAGGAGAUCAAAUCCAGGAUCCUGGUGUGUCUGCUCUCCCACAGGUGAGGAUGCUGCUGUCCUUGGAAAUGGCUUCCGUUCAGCCCUAUGGAGGGUGGACAUGGUCCAGACUCUGGGAGAGCCCGGCUCAGCCUUGGGCCCCCCCCUAGGCCACUGCUGGUAAAAGAGCACACAGACCUUCCUUGGGUAAAAGGGAGGGGACAUUGCAGAUAGACAGCAGGAGAAGGCCACCUGUGUGGGCAGUUCCCAUAGGGCCUGGGCGGCAGCACCCUUGCGGGCUUAGCAGUGGUUGGGACGGCUCUCCUGGGACACUCCAGAGAGUGCUGGUUCAGUGCUAGUCCACAGUCCUGGCCUGGCACCAGCAAGUGGGGCAGUGAUGUCACCCAGGAUCUUGCAGUUCCUGCAUUGAAGGGGAAGCACAGAAAUCUUUGGAUGAGGUAGUGUGGCCCCUGGCUCAGGCCCCUGCCUGUUCAACACCCUUCAGGACAGCACCCACCUCGCUGGAGCAGCGGUUCUCUGCUGUCAGCCUGAGGGAACAGGAAGUAGUUGACCAGGUUCAAGUCAAAGCUGGAGACCACACAGCGCCUUCACAGAGAGGGUAGUGGUGUCCCUGUGGGUCCCUGGUCCCAGGCCAUUCUCCCCCUUCUUGUUCACCUUCUUCAUUCACCUCUGUACCCUCAACAGCCCAGGGAUGCCUGGCAAUGUGGGUGCUCAGAGUUCACAGUAGAUGAAUGAUACUUACAGCACAUUAAGGCCCCAGACUUAAUGCAGUAGGUGGAAUCACUGGAGAGAGAGAUGUGGGCAGCAGUACAGAAUGGGGCUCGAGGGGGCCCUGCCAUGGCCCCACAGGCUCUGUCAUGAACCUGUGCUAGCAUGGACAAGGGCUCAAUAGCUUCUUCCAUGAAGUAGGCUCUUGUAGUCAGAUGCAGGUAGGUCCUGGGGCAGGGAGGGUGUCAAUGUGGAGGCCUGACCAGAGCUUCCUUUCCACCCACUCCUCCCCCUGCACACACUUGGCUGUGAUCCAGGAAGGCAAAGAGCCACUGCAGCCUGGAAAUAAAAGGCUGUGAGUUGUUCUCAAAUGAAGCCAAGAGUGUUUGAAGCUUCACAAAAAAGCAGGAGUGCCCAGGGUAAGCAAAGGCCCCAAAGGAGCUUCUCCUCACCCAUGGCCUCCAGGCCGAAGGCAGAACAGGCAUUUCUAGUUCAAGGUGAGGCUGGAGGCAUGGGACCUGGAGGAAGAGAAGGUGAACACUUGGCCCAGAGUGUUUGGGAUCAGAAACACAGCAAUGACCUUGGUUUGGAAAAUAAGCGGUAUAGCAAGGUAACCCCCGAAGUCCUUUCUAGCUCUGACAUCCCAUAGCCCCAGGAGCCAAAAAUUAGUGUGUCCUAACAUCUUGUGAUGCCAGGGUUCUAAGGCUGGGGCUCUGGUCUGCCACAGAGUUCAUGUCAACAUCAUCCCACCCACAGCAGCCCCCACACCCCUUUCUCCGUGGUUCCCUAGGAAAGAACAUACAGACCCCUGCAAAGCAGCAAGCUCCACCUCUGUCCCAGUCCACUGCUGCAGCCCCUGUUCGGGGUCCUGGCCCUAGAACCACCAUGAGUUAUUCUACCCACACCGCUUUCUCCCUGCUUCCCCGGGACAGGGCAUUCAGACCUAUGCAGGGCAGUGCAUCUGGCUCCAACACACGGCCCCAGUUCACUCCUGCAGCCCCUGCUCAGCACCCUGGCCCUAGAGUCACCCAAAGUUAUCCCCCUGCCUUCAAAUGAGAAAGGCAGGCAUCAGUAUGAGAAUUAUGCUGACAGAAGAGGACACGGUGGUGUAGACUGGCUCCUGAUGGCAGAGGUGUGGCCCUGUGGCAGACAGGAAGGAGAUCCUCUUCAUGCCCAUAUUCCCUGGAACAAGCUGAUUUCCAGAUCCCAGCUUUGUUUCUCUUCUCACUAGACAAUCUGGAAAGAUCACUCAUGCAUUUCUCCAAACAGCCCACUGCAUAGAAUAGCACUUCUCAAAGUGUGGGCCACUUAGCUGGUCCAAGGCAAUGCAAGGCAAGAAAUGGAGGAAGCAUUUAGAAACCUGUAAAACAUUGUGAUAUUACCAUGGCCAUAUAAGCACAGGAUCAUUUUUUUUUUUGGUAAGUCAUUUUAUUGUAUUUUACAAAAGUAAUGGUCUGCAGCAGACCAAAAUUAGAAAAAAACAAGUCCUUCACCAGGAAGUUUGAGAAGAACAAGUAGCAGCAGCUUAGGAAGUUAAGGAUCACAUCCAACCUUCUCUGCUGAACCUGAAGCUCAGAGAGGAGAGACUGACUUGAAGUCAUACUAUAAACCUGGAUCAAAGCUCACUUUCACAGAAUCAAAGCUGAAAUUUUGAGUGAUUUUUAAGCAAGCCAUAAAGUGAAUAGGUAGCCAUAGACAAUAAAUACUGCAUUUGUUGCGUUAAACAAAAACAUGUCUGAAACCAGAAUGAAUGGGAGCUCCACACAGGAAGACACAAUCCACCACCAUGGACUCAUGGAGAAAAGUCAGUGAUAUCAACCAGCCCAGUGAGGACCCCUCCUCCCACUGCAGCCCCGUCCCUUGUGCCCAUCUUGAGUUCUCAUCCCGUUGCUACCUACUGCCUUGGCAAUGGCUUGAGGCCGUCUGGGGCCUUCAUGUGCCCACAGACCUCAGGGGAUCAUGUCAGCAAUGCAAAGCAAGACCCACUCUCUCCAGCCUACAUUCUCACUCCUUUCUACCAUCUAUCAUUGACCGUAAUGCAGAGAACCAAGGGCAGACAGGAAGUGCAAAAUCAGCAUCUAUUCAAAAGCCAUGAGCAAGGCCUGAGGGAUGCUGUUCACGCAGCAUGGGGCACCCAGAUUGAUUAAAAACAGUGUUGCCCGUAACUGACUUGGCCAUGAGCUCAGGGCAGAAACCAGUCAGCUUGCUCUCCUGUGAGAUCCAGGCCUUCUGCCAUAAUUGCUGCUUAGUGUAAUCCUCACUGGGAACAUGAAAGUCCUGAGGAGGAAACAAGGCAAGGCAGUGGGCACCAGAAUCAGCCCAGUAACUGGGCUAGAAAACAGUCAUCUCCUCUGGGAAGUCGUCUUCACUACAUCCAACCUGGCUGGAGUCCUGGGAGACUGCCUACAAAUGGUGCCAACAGCUUCUGCCUGCAAACACAGUCCAGCUUCUCAUCUUGAGGUGAGGGCCUUUUAUGUGACCUUUCCCUUCAUACCACCUUGAAGUGUGCCCAUUUUAUAGAUUAAAUGACUAAGAUUCAGAUAGAGAAAAUAAUUGGCCAGGUCACAUGGCAGUGAAUGAAGGAUUCAUAAGUUCUUACAGGAGCCCAGCAGCUACAGCCCUGGUCCAUUGGCCAAAUCCAGUGGCAUCAAGACCUCAGUGUGAGCCCCAGCGCUCGUCCUCACUUGCUCUCUGGCCAUGGUCAGUGAGCCUCUCUGACUCAACCUGUAAACCUCCCUGGGCCUGGAUUUCCUUAUGUGUCAGGUGAGGAUAUGUCUACCUUCUAUUAGUUUGGCAUUCUAUACUUCCAUGGUGCUUACCCACAAUCAUGUUCCUGCUUUCAUCUUCUACUUUUAGAUUUGCAGAGUCAACUUGCAAGACAAUUAGUCACCCCCUUGGAACAUGAUCCUACAGUCAGGACAAUGGGAGGGUGCUGGGGGUCUGUGGUGUGGUCACGAGCAAGCUUUCCCCUCAUUACCGUUUAUCACAUUAAACAGCUGCACCUGCAGCAAUAUUACCAAGCACUAGUUCUAAUAAUGAUAUAUUUUAAAGAAAACACCUAAGCACAAUGUAGUGUUUCUUAAUUGAUUUAAGCAGCAUUUAUGAGAGUUACUCUAGCCCUGUUCUUGUCCCCAGAUCCUGAGUACAGUGCCCUAGAUUUGUACAAGGUUCCACAGAGCUUCGAGCUGGCUUAGCACCCAAUACCCUCAUCUCCCCAGUGCAUGUCCUCUGACUACCACAGAAGACGUUGCUUGAGCAGUGGUUUAACUCACUCAUUUCCCAGGAGCGUGUAUUAGAUAAUAUAUCAGAUUAGCCAAUCACCUCCCACAGAUGAUUAAAAAAAAUCAAAAGAGCUGCCAGAGGGAGAUAACAGCAUCUUCUCUCUUAGUCCCUCUUUUUUCUUGCAAUUCUGCCCUAUCCAAGUCUUCCUCACCCCACACACAAUAAACAAAUAGGGGCAAAAAGGCAGACAGAUGGACAGAACCUACCAUGCACACACACAUACACACAGAGAGAGAGAGAUGGAAAAAUAUUCACAACAGAAAAAAGAACAUAGAAUGCCAUUUUUUCCCAAAGAAUGGAACUUCAUACUCUUAGGAAAAUAACAAUUCCCCAAAUUACUCUUAAGCUCCUAAUGCUUCUGGAAAUUUACAUAUGAUGGCUCCCUGAGCAAGGUCUGCUGCUCCCAGAGAAACUGGCGUAGCCUGAUGCAUGUGCCUUGGUACAAGCACUUUCCAGAGCUUGUGUGCAAGGGAACAUAAAUCCAAACCAUAAUGUGCUUAUAGAACACGUGGAAGAAUUUCAUAAACAAUAAAAUCCUAUACUUUUCUGUCUUGACUCUCAAACUGGCUUGUUGGCAAGUGGUAUCCAAAGCCACAGGAAAAAUGUAGCACUUUUUCCUGGAGCUAUAUUCUCUAAUAUUCAACAAAGAAAAAUAUGCAUUUAUGUUAAAACAAGUGUUUAUGAACUACAUGCCUGAGUCUUUUUGUCCAACUUUAAUUUACAAUCAAGAUAUAUGUGUAGGUUUGUUACAUGGGUAUAUUGUAUGGUGCUGAGGUUCGGAGCAUGAGUGAAUCCAUCACCCAGGUAGUGAGCCUAGAAACCUGUAGGUAGUUUUUAUCAACCCUUACACCCCUCCCUCUCUCCUCGCUCUUGUAUUCCCAAAAGUCUAUUGCUCCCAUUUUUAUUACCAUGCAUACCCAAUGUUUAGCUCCCACUUAUAAGUGAGAACAUGUGAUAUUUGAUUUUCUGUUUCUGCAUUUGUUUGUUUAGGAUGAUGGUUUCCAGCUGCAUCCACAUGGCAGCAAAGGGCUUAAUUUCAUUCUUUUUUUUAUAGGUGUGUAGUACUUCAUAGUGUAUAUGUGCCAUGUUUUAUUUAUUCUACCCAUAAUUGAUGGGCACCUGGGUUCAUUCCAUGUCUUUGCUUUUGUGAAAAAAAACUACCAUUGAAUGGUAGUUCUGUUUUAAGUUCUCUGAGAAAUUUCCACACUGCUCUCCACAGUGGUUGAACUGACUUAAAUUCCCAUCAACAGUGUAUACCCACUCCUUUUUCAACAGCCUCAUCAAUGUGUUAUUUUUUGACUUUUUAGUAAUAGCCAUUCUGACUGGUAUGAGAUGACAUCUCAUUAUGGUUUUGAUUUGCAUUUCCCUGAUAAUUAGUGAUGAUAAGCAUUUUUUUCAUAAAUAUUCUUGUAUGUCUUUUUUUGAGAAGUGGCUGUUUAUGUCCUUUGCCUUCUUUUUAAUGGGAUUAUUUGCUUUUUGCUUGUUCAAUUGUUUAAAUUACUUAUAGAUUCUGGAUACUUGACUUUUGUUGAAUGCAUGGUUUGCAAAUACUUUCUUCCAUUAUGUAGGUUGUCUGUUUACUUCCUUGAUAGUUUCCUUUGCCGUGGAGAAGCUCUUUAGUUAAUUAGGUCUCACUUGUUAAUUUUUGUUUUUGUAGCAAUUGCUUUUGAGGACAUAGCCACAAAUUAUUUGCCCAGGCUUAUAUUUAGAAGGAUAUUUCCUAGGUUUUCUUAUAGGAUUUUGAUUAGUUUGCGAUCUUUCACUUAAGUCUUUAAUACAUCUUGAAUUAAUUUUUGUAUGUGGUGAUAGGUAGAUGUGAUGUUUAAUAAUGAGUGUCAACUUGACUGGAUCGAAGGAUGCAAAAUAUUGUUCCUCAGUGUGCCUGUGAGAGUGUUGCCAAAAAAGAUUAACAUUUGAGUCGGUGGACUGAAAGAGGCAGGCCCACCCUCAAUCUGGGUGGGCACCAUCUAAUCAGCUGCCAGUGCAGCUAGGAUAAAAGCAGGCAGAGGAACAUGGAAGGACUAGACUGGCUGAGUCUUCUGGCCUUCAUCUGUCUCCCAUGCUGGCUGCUUCCUGUCCUUGAACACUGGACUCCAAGUACUCCAGCUUUAGGACUCUUGGACUUACACCAGUGGUUUGCCAGGGGCUCUCGGGCCUUCAGCCACAGACUGAAGGCUGCCCCAUCAGCUUCCCUACUUUUUAGGUUUGGGGACUAGGGCUGGGAUUUUUGCUUCUCAGCUUGCAGAUGACUUAUUGUGGAACUUCACCUCGUUAUUGUGUGACUUAAUAAUCCGUAAUAAACUCCGUUUCAUAUGUACAUCUAUCCUACUAGUCCUGUCCCUGUAGAGAACGCUGACUAAUAGAGUAGGGGUCCAGUUUUAUUCUUCUGCGUAUGCAUAGCCAGUUACUCAGGACCAUUUAUUACGUAGAGAGUCCUUUCCCCAUUGCUUAUUUUUGUUGACUUUGUUGAAGAUCAGGUGGUUGUAGGUAUGCAGCUUUAUUUCUGGCUUUUAUAUUUUGUUCCAUUGGUCUAUGUGUCCAUUUUUGUACCAGUCAGUAUUAGGUUACUGUGUCCCUGUAGCAUAGUUUGAAGUUGGGUAGUGUGAUGCCUCCCACUGUUUUGUUUUGCUUUCUGUUCUGUUUUGUAUUCUUUUUUUUUUUGCUUAGGCUUACUUUGACUAUUCAGGGUUUUUUUUUGUUGUUGUUCCAAAUGGAUUUUAGAAUAAUUUUUCUAAUUCUGUGAAAAAUGAUGUUGGUAGUUUGAUGGGAAUAACAUUGAAUCUG
rnacentral:sRNA from 1 species